rnacentral:lncRNA from 1 species
AGCCCGGCCCGUCCCAGGCCCAUCCCCACUCGCUUCGCCUUGCUGCGUACUACUGCGCGCGUACGCAUAGCAGCUCGUAUCCUGGUGCUCUAUAAUCUUGGGUCAUGUACUACUGUAUUCCAGUUUCGAUGUGUUCUUGCUGUGCUGUAAAAUGUACUUAGCUAAGACAAUCAAUUAAGAGUGUAAUUAAUGAUAAGGUGGCGAAAUUAAGCCAAAGUGCGUGUUCUCUUGCUAGCUAUAGCUUCUGAUUAACCGCGUGCGCUCGUUAAAAUUUCCUGUAUGGCACUUGUUUCUUGGGAUAACGACGCAUUUGCAUCUUGCUGGAUUUGGAUUCAAAGUCUUGGUUGCGGUUGGAUGAAUCAAUUUCUUGCCAGGAUUGGGUAGACAGCUAGACACCCACGCGCUGCCUGCCUGUGCCUUGCCGAGUGAAUGACAUAUCGAUGUGCGCUGCCCCUACGGAGGCGCUGCGCUGGCCCUACGUGAACGUGCGGCGCCCAUCGCUCGAUCUCGUUUUCAUAAUUGCCCUGUGAUAUGACAAGGUAGUACAUCGAGUUUGGAUCUUAAUAGUCGUGUACACUCUUCAACGUACACCUCUGUCGUCCUAUGAAGGUGUUUAUAAGAUUUAUUAGGUAAACGUAGGUACGUGAUCCUGACCUCGUGUUCCCACGCCGCCGAGUGUUUGGGCAGAGCAUUUCGUGGCUGUUCCUACGAAUUUAUUGUCGGCUUAAGCUGUGCGACAUGGCAGUUCCUGACGGCCAUGUGGCCAUGGGCCCACAAUGACUGUGUCAGCAAUAACGCUAGAAAGCCAUGGGGAACUAUGCGUCUUUGGUAGCUACAUAGUUGCCCUACACAUUGCAAUAGAGACUAAAUAUUCCAAUCUAUGUUUUUUAGGUCAAUAUUCUAAUAAUAAUUAAGGUUAUACCCACCUAUCUCUUGACGGUUAGGGCAAAUUCUCCCUUCCAAGCUUCCCCAGCGAGCAUGUGGAUUCGCCUGUCCUCUCUGUCUGUCGCUCCGGCGGCUGAUGGCAGGGAGGAGAAUCUCGGUGCUUCCACUUGGUGAAUAGUUUAGGUUAGGGUCUUUCAGUCCUCGCAGGUGUAGCGCUCGGGCGGAUAAAGAAGCUUCUUCUUCGAGUUUGUCUUUCGAAUUUCGAUCCUCCUUGAGUUUGUGCACCUGGACGUUCUUCACAGAGCUCUGACAUAGAUUCUUGCCUCUUUUUCGGAAGGUGAUGUUAGGGUUUCUCAUUGUGUGGCGAGAUUUGGUGUCAAGUGCUUUAGAUAUAUUCAAGGGUUUAACUAUGACGACUGCGUCUUAAGGGCGUUGGCCCUUAAGGGCACGUGCACGAAGAGUUCUCUGCUAUCAUCGACAAGGUAAAGCUGGCUCCAAUAGAGGAGCAGUCACAGCGGCACGUGGCGGCUUGUACUGGCAGUGAUAGUGGUCGUUCUAUGGUCUCAAAAUCUUGAUAUAAUGUUUAUUAUGUUUGAGAUAUUCUGCACUUCUGAUGAACUUUUCAUAAUAGAUCUUUUUUGCAAAAAAAACUAAUAAUUAAACUGCGAAUGCGUGUGGGUUGUUUAUACACUGACAUGUUAAAAUUAUAGUGAGUUUAUUUACGUGAUCACUAUGAUUAACCUACAUUUUAUCGUUAAUAUGUGAUUUGUGAUGGUACAAUGUAUCGGGGUAUACAGUCAAAUGUCAACCCGACAAUCCGACCCAUGGGCGGUCGCGCCCAUUGGCACCCGACCCGAAUGGGUAGGGUACGGGCCGUCAUCUUCACCCAUGGGUAAGCCCGAUGGGUAACCCGAUUAGUCGUGGGUAGGAUAUGGGCAUAAGGUCUUGCCCGUGGGUCACCCAAUGGGUUGCCCGAUUACCUGACAUGUGGGCCCUACGGUGCACAAAAUACACUAACCCCUAGCAUCCAACAGCUAUCUAUGCUGAAAAAACACUAAUAAUAAGCACCACACCACGACCACAAAGAUCACAUCCAUCAAUAUGAAAGUCCCUCUCCCCCCGCUCAAGGCCUUUGCUCAAUUACUUGUUUGGCCCAAGGCCUCAUGCAUCUAAAGAUCCGCUCCUCAAGUCCAUAUAUCGUGUUAAAAUUUCGGCUCAACUUGCAAUAUGCAGCCCAUGCAGCUAAAGGCUGGUGCUCAGGCAUAGGAACAGACUUGUUUAGUCCCAGCUCGCGUCGAGAACAAGAAGGAACCAGCUUGCUAGCUACUCCCUCUAUCCCAAAAUAUGAGAACGUUUUUAACAUUACACUAGUAUCAAAAACGUUUUUAUAUUACGGGACAGAGGGAGUAUAUAAGAAGGUGUGACCUUUCCAUCUCUUCCUCACAGAUUGUAGCUACCAGAUAGGCACACGUACGACAAGACGUGUACUAUUUUUGAAGUAUAAAAAUAAAAGUAAAAAUUUAUUUCAAACCCGAUGGGCGCCCUAAUGGGCCGGGUCACCCAUCGGGUUCGGGCAUGGGUCUGCUUGUAUACCCAUGGGUAGGGGCGUGGGCAAAGGGUUAGACCCAUUUACUUAUCGGGCAUGGGUCCGGUAGAGGUCGACCCGGUGAAACCCGACCCGACUGCCAGGUUGAGUCAGAUGGGAAGUCGGCCCAUCAGGCUAGCCUCGAGACCGAGCAUGCCAUCAAGCUGACCUUGACCCUGUCGGUAGGCCUCCUUUAGAAUAUUCCAUUAGCAUGGCGCACAAGAUGACCCCACACAUCAGUGGCGGAGCUAGAAAGAAAAACCUGGGCGGGCCAAGUUAAAAGAAAACGCACAAAAAAUCAAUCAACAAAUACAAUGGAUGAAGAGCUGCAGCUGAAAAAUCCUUCUUAACUUCAUCUGUAAUUGUAUCAUCUCUUUUUCUCUUGAAAGCCAAAUUGGUACUACGUUGAUUAGCCUUGCUCGAGCCUCCGCUGCACGGGUCUCCCUCGGGCCUCCUCACCGCUCGGUGCAGUGAUGGUGCGAUCGCCGGCUCGACGUCUGCGGCUCCGCGCCACGGCCACCACUCUCUCGCCCUCCGCGCGACUGUACGCGUGGUCCGUGCCCUAGCAUCGUUCUGCCACUCUGCUGGAUAGGAAGAGGAAUCGAGGGAGGCAUGCAACAGAGGCUGCAUAGGACGGGGCGAGGCUACAUGCAAUGCAAGCACAAGCAGGACAGUCAUGGGCUAGGCUACUCGUAUGCGUAGUUGUGUACAAUAUACAAUACAUUUUUACCCCAGAUGUUGGGCGGGCCACGACACGCUUUUGUCCUCACGAAGCUCCGCCAGUGCCACACAUCAUAACGGACUCCUCAUGCCAGUGUAACCAACUAGGGCUCAUGUAAACCCUAGGAGAAAGAUUGUCUCUAGAUCAUCAGUGUACGCCGGAAAUACAAUUGCAUUGUGUUCAAGAAGUGAUUGACCAGUUACACGCAUGUGAAAGCUCUAGUUUAAUUUUUUUAUAGUGAGCUGUUGAAGGCAAUGCAACUCCCGAUGUAUGAUCAGGUGCACGGUGCACGUAUAUAAGUACAAGGGCAGCCCUCAGCCUCAUCUAUACAAGAAAACUAGAGGCGGCACCGGUAGGAGAUUAUCCUAAUAGAUACAUGACAUAAUAUGUUCAACACCCCCACCCCCCGCAGUCGAUACGUUACUAGUGACGCAUAGACUGGACCGAAACUCCUCAAAUGUAGGCGUCCGUAACCCCUUGGUCAUGACAUCGGCAAACUGCUGAGCUGUGGGAACAUGAAGGACACGGAUGCGCCUAAGAGCCACCUGCUCUCGCACGAAGUGAAUGUCGAGCUCAAUAUGCUUCGUGCGACGAUGAUGAAUGGGGUUGGCAGAGAGGUAGACUGCAGAGGCAUUGUCACAGUAGACAAUGGUGGCCUUCGGAACAUCAAGAAGCAACUCCCGGAGAAGCUGCCGGAGCCACGAGCACUCGGCAAUGGCAUUGGCCACAACACGAUACUCAGCCUCGACACUGGAGCGGGAUACCGUGGGUUGUCGUUUAGACGACCACGAUAUGAGCGAGGGCCCCAGGUAGACGCAGUAGCCUGAAGUGGAGCGACGGGUGUCCGGACAACCAGCCCAAUCGGCAUCACUGUAGGAAACUAGGUCGGUCGAGGGCGAGGCCAUCAACGUAAGACCUAGAGCCGUGGUGCCGCGGAUGUACCGAAGAAUCCGCUUCACCAGGUUCCAGUGAGUGUCGUGAGGGACGUGCAUGUGGAGACACACCUGUUGGAUGGCAUACUGCAGGUCCGGCCGAGUGAGUGUCAAGUAUUGAAGGGCGCCGAUGAUGGAGCGGUAGAACGCCGCAUUCGGCGCGGGUGAACUGUCGAGCGCAAAAACCUUGGCCUUCGUGUCGAUAGGCGUGGGGACGGGCUUGCAGUUAAGCAUGCCAGCCCGCUCAAGAAGGUCAUGCGCAUACUGUUGCUGGUGGAGAAAGAACCCGUCGGCGCGGCGUACCACCUCAAUACCGAGGAAGUAGUGCAACGAGCCGAGGUCCUUAAUGGCUAACUCGGCGCUGAGGCGAGCAGUAUGCUGGCGAAGGAGCUCUGGCGAGGAGGCCACCAGGAUGAUGUCGUCGACAUAGAGAAGCAGGUAAGAGGUCGCCGGAGCCUGGUGGUAGACAAACAGCAAGGCAUCGGAGCGAGUAGCUCGGAACCCAAGCUACUGCAGGAAGCCGGUGAUCCGCUAGUACCAGGCUCGAGGGGCCUGCUUCAACCCGUAUAAGGAGCGGGAGAGCAAGCACACAUGGUCAGGACAAGCCGCGUCGACGAAGCCGGUAGGCUGCUGACAGAAGACCUGCUCCGAGAGAUUGCCAUGCAAGAACGUGGGGCCGGCGGGGACGGGGGCGUAGCCAGCGAAGCUGACGAGGCCAGCAAGGCCGGUGACGGGGGAUCGACCGAGGGCGAAGGCGAUAAAGAGCCCAUCGGGAUCACCGGUGAAGCCGUCGAGGAGCCUGGGUCAGGCCCAUGAGAUGCGCUCGCUGGCCGGGCUACAAACUCAACGAGAGUGGGGGGCGUCGUGGCCGCCGGCGAGGAAGCAGCCGGGCCGACGGGAGAGCCUGGAGCGGCGGGUGACGGGGCCGGGUCCGAUGCCACGGACCUAGACCGGAGCCCAGGCGCUGCGGGAGCGCCGAAGCCAGGGGAGGCCCAUGCGCUGCAGGGGGGCCAAAGCCGGGAGGGGGGCCGAGUGCAAGUGAGCGGCCGCCUCGAGGGGCGCCAGGAGGCACGGGUGACGAUGGCGAGUCGACCGGCGGCGGUACCUGGUGAAAGGGAAAAGACCUCUCGUCAAAGUAAACGUGCCGUGAAGUGAAAACUCGGUGGGAAACGGGAUCAUAGCAGCAAUAACCUUUGGUGUUUGGUGGGUAUCCGAGAAAGAUGCAUGCCAUGGAGCGAGGUGCGAGUUUAUGAGGAGUAGUUGAGGCGAUGCUAGGAUAACAGAGACACCCAAAAACACGAAGGUCGUAAUAGGAGGGAGGGCUACCUAAGAGGAGAUGAUGUGGUGCAAAGUUCCCACGAGCACGACUCGGACAAAUGUUGAUGAGGAGAGAGGCAGAGGAGAGGGCGUCCGGCCAAAACCGGGGCGGGACAUUAGCGUGGAAGAGAAGAGUGUGCACACAAUCAUUGAGGGUGCGAAGGAUCCGUUCGGCGCAACCAUUUUGUUGCGGGGUAUACGGGAAAGUGAGACAAAGAAUUGUGCCAUGUGUGGCAAGGAGGGUACGAACCCCGACGUUGUCGAACUCCUUCCCGUUGUCAGUCUGCAAGGCAUGAAUGGGACGCCCAAACUGCGUAGCGACAUAGGAGUAGAAGGUAGUGAGAACGGAGAGUGCAUCGGAUUUUCUCCGCAAUGGGAAGGUCCACACAUAAUGCAAAAAAUCAUCAAGUAUGACAAGAUAGUAUAAAAGAACCACUUCAUCAAAUUCAAUAGUUAUAGGAUUUUCACGUGUAAGAGAACGAACGGAAACAAGAUUGGAGACUAACUCAGGUGAAACUAAGACAUUAGACAUAUGUAUAGGCAUGGAGUUAGACGGAAAAGAACCAUGACCGACAUGAGUAAUGGGAAGGGAUGAACCGUCCCCAACAGUGAUAUGACAUGCGGUAGAAACUGGAUAUGCGGAGUUGAGGUUACCAGGGUUGGAAGUCAUGUGGGCGAUAGCCCUGGUGUCCAUAUACCAGUCGCCGCCUUCGGUGUAUGUGUUGGGUGUAGGAGCGGAGUGAAGUGCCGCGAGAAGGGCCGGAUCCCAGGGUGCCGGCGGUAGUGCGGCGGUCGCGGCAGGGGGCGCGGCAGGGUAGGCGGGCAGGGCCGCGGGGUAGCUGCCCGAGGCAGCGUACGCAGGCGCAGCGGCGGGGUAGCCGCAUGGGGCGGCGAACACCGCCUGAUGGGCACCGGGGCGGGGACCGAGGAUCCCAACCGGAACGGGGGCUCGCGGCACUAGCAUGGUGUAUGCGUGGACCACCCCCGUCCAAGGGUUGGUCGUGGCGGCCCAGGGGGCCCGGCGCAGCGCCUACUGCUGCGGCUGGCGGGGCGCCCUCCCCCCCACCACGUCGUGCUGCUGCUGCUGCUUCUUGUCGCGACGCCCCCCGCAGCGACGAUCGGGGGCAGGGGCGGCGGUUGGUACACCGGCGGUGGAGGCGCUUGGAAGUAGGCCACCGUUGGUGGCGGAGGCUGCGACGGCUACGGAGCCGUGGGAGGAGCGGCGCGGGACGUGCCCACAGCAAGCGCUGUGUGCGUGGCCCGGGACUUCACCAUCUUCAUCCUCUUCUGCUCCAACCGAAGAUAGGCCACAACCCGGGGAAAGGUCGGGUCUGGAAGGAACAUGAGGUUGGAGGCCACAUUGCUGAACUCCUCAUUCAGUCCGGCGGUGAGUGUGCUGAGGAGAAGGUCGUCGGAGACCCGCUCCCUGAGGUCGCGAAGUUCGUCGGCAAGUUUCUUAAGGCACAUGCAAUAAUCAUCGAUAGACGAGUCAAGCUGGUGGCAGCCAAAAAAUUCUUGCUGAAGAAACACGCGGCGCUAAAGGGCGUUGUCAAGGAAGAGCCCGUUCAGCUUCGCCCACACGUCUGCGUGUCGUCAGUGUCGCAAAUGAUGGUGUGGAAGAUGUCCUUGGAGAUGGUUUGGUACAACCAGCGGGUGAUGGUGGCGUCGAUGGUCAGCCAGUCGUCGUGCACGAACAUGAGGUCGGAGUCGAUGGAGCCAUCAACGUGAUUGAUGAAGUGGUACUCACGGAAGACGAGGGAGAAGUAAGUAUUCUAGGCAUAGUAGGUUGAGUUGGCGUAGUCGAGGAUGACGGGCACGCGGGCGAAGAUGUCGAGAUCGCGAAUGACCUCCACCGGGGGAGGGGCCGGACCUUCAAAGGGGUUGGAGGGAAGGAAGGCGGCGGCGUGGGGAGAGGCCAUUGGUGGUGUGUGGCGACCGAAGUGGUGGCGGCGCGACGGUGGUGAUCGGGUGUGGGGGGAGAUCGGGAGGGGAGGCGGCUUGGGAGAGGAGGGUGGCUCGGGAAGGAGAGGGAGAUUGGGGUGGGGAGGCACACGCGGCGGCGGGGUUCGGGUGCGCGCCGGCUUGGGUUGAUGGCGGCGGCGGCUAGGGAGGAGCGGAAGCUAGGUUGGAUCGGGAAGAAAACUAAUACCAUGUUGAAGGCAAUGCAACUCUCAAUGUAUGAUCGGGUGCACGAUGCAUGUAUAUAAGUACAAGGGCAGCCCUCAGCCUCAUCUAUACAAGAAAACUAGAGGCGGGGACGAUAGGAGAUUAUCCUAACAUAUACAUGCACAUAAUAUAUUCAACAUGAGCAAACUACAAAAGUCCACUCUAUGAACAUUUUUGAAGCGGCAAUGGGUGGCCCACAGUCUAACACAACUAUGAAGUUGAUUCUUCAAGUUCACGAUAAACCUAUGAGAUUCUUAGUUGAUUCUAGCAGUACAGACAAAUUUUUGGAUGAGUCCUAUUUAUCUAGUCUUGCAAGUGUUUAGAAAAUACCACCAAUUUCAGUAAAGGUAGCUAGUGAAUUUGCUCUACAAUAUAGAUUUCAUCCUCCUGACUAUUCCUAGAAGUGUCAAGAGUUUGAAUUUGUUUCCAAUAUUAGGUUAUUACCACUAGGCUUAUGGUGUAAUUUUAAGCCUGGAUCGGCUAGCACAACACAGUCCUAUGCAAGUACAUUGGGAAGAGAAAUGGUUAUUGUCGGUGUCAAAACCGGCGGAUCUCGGAUAGGGGGUCCCGAACUGUGCGUCUAGGCCAGAUGGUAAUAGGAGGCAAGGGACACGAAGUUUUACCCAGGUCCGGGCCCUCUCGAUGGAGGUAAAACCCUACGUCCUGCUUGAUUAAUAUUGAUGAUAUGGGUACUACAAGAGUAGAUCUACCACGAGAUCGAAGAGGCUAAACCCUAGAAGCUAGCCUAUGGUAUGAUUGUUGAUGUGUAUGUUGUCCUACGGACUAAAACCCUCCAGUUUAUAUAGACACCGAAUAGGGUUAGGGUUACAUAGAGUCGGUUACAAUGGUAGGAGAUCUGUAUAUCCGUAUCACCAAGCUUGCCUUCCACGCCAAGGAAAGUCCCUUCCGGACACGGGACAGAGUCUUCAAUCUUGUAUCUUCAUAGUCUAGGAGUCCGGCUGAAGGUAUAGUCCGGCCAUCCGGACACCCCCUAAUCCAGGACUCCCUCAGUAGCCCCCGAACCAGGCUUCAAUGACGAUGAGUCCGGCGCGCAGAUUGUCUUCGGCAUUGCAAGGCGGGUUCUCCUCCAAACUCCGUGUACCUGUUGAAUAAAGUCCGGUUUCUUGUAGAUGUUGCGCUCCUUGGCUUCUACGCCCAAUAAUGGCCGCUUCCCACGUGUCAAACGAAUAUGAAAAGUCUGAGUGUUUUUACAUUCACACCCCUAGCCGCACAAAUGAGCUGACCUAUUUAAGGGGACGAGGAUUUAGAUCCAAACCACACCUUCCCCCCAUCGUGAGUGUUCAUCAGAGCGCAUUCGACAAAGAUCCAUUCCACCAUGGCCAGCCGUCGUGACUCCUCCUCUCGCCCUUCCAGCCCUAAGUCUGGAUAUUGGGAAAGAUGCUCCAUCCCACAUAGCGAGCUAGUGACGCUCCAGACUAAGGGGUUUCUCCCCUCGGCCUAUAUGGUCCCGGUUCGAGCCGGUCUCGCCAUCUAUAACGGCGGUGAGCAAGCAGAGAAUGCCCCUAAUCCCUCCGAAGGAGAGCGGGUGUGCCUCGUCCCUUAUUUAAUAAGGGGGCUCGGAUUUCCAAUCCAUCCAUUUCUCUGGGGGCUGCUGGAGUUCUACGGCCUCCAGCUACAUCAUCUCACGCCUGCCUCAGUAUUGCAUAUCGCGGGCUUUGUAGCCCUCUGCGAGCUGUUCUUGGGUGUUGAAGCUCAUUUCGGACUGUGGAAGGAGCUAUUUUUUCUUGUGCCCCGUUCCAAGAAGGGGUCAAUGUAUCAAGUGGGCGGAGCCGAAGUGUGGCGCAUCGCCGGGACCGGAUAUCUGUCCGGAACCCCAAAGAAGGCGUCCGAAGACUGGCCCUCGGGAUGGUUUUAUAUAGAACACGCCCCGCUGCUGGAUCCUGUCCGGAUCGGCCUCCCUGAAUUCAACAGUGCUCCCUUAAAGAAGCGCCUAAGUUGGCGCCCACGGAGCCCUUAGAGGGGGGGGUGACAGGGACAUCCUUUACCUGAUGGGCCGAAUAAGAUUAUUAGCCCAUUCCGGACUAACCAUGAUCGGGGUCAUGGCCGCAUGCAUCAUGCGAGGGGUGCAGCCGCUACAGUAUAGGGGCCACCCCAUCUGGGACUUCAACGGGGAGGACGACACCACCCGCUACGGCCGUAAGGGGCCAGAUUCGGCUGCGGCUCUAAUAAAGACCUUGUCCGCUUUGUACAAGGGAGAAGAGGAGGAUUUUCUCCGCGUCGACCCAAAGGGUGGAUUUUCUAUGUACAAUCCUCCAAGCUGGGUAAGUGGUCGCAUCUUGCCCAUCCGUUUUAUAUCCCCAUUGUUAAAUAUUCAGUCCAGCGAUUUCAACGCAGGAACUGCGCCAGGCUGUUAAAGAAAUAAACAGCCCUCCUCCACAACCCGAGGACCCAGGACGGUCCCUCGACCCGGACUCUCAAGAGGAUCCGGACCUUUCGGUGGAUCUGAUUGACGGAGUGUUCCAUCAAUUGAGCAAGGACAGCGCCCUGGUGGCCAUUAUGGCUGAUUAUCCAGGGCUAAUCCCGGCCUCCCAGAAACGGAAGGCCGAACCUGCAGCGACAAGCCAACGAGGGGCCGCAUGGCCCCGUGGGCAGAAAAGAGGUGCAGUCCGGACCGGGGCGUCAGCGCAAAGGUAUGGCGCGCCCCCUUAUCCCAGGUGUUAUACCUUCGAGGCAUAUUAACACUUGUGCUCUCUUCAGGACAAAGAGACCUCGCCGAACUAUAUUCGGAGAGACCGCCAAUCGCGCCUCCACCAGCCAGGCUCCAAAGCCUGGGCCAAAAGCGGAGCCGAACACAAGGCGCGCACCGGACGCUCCUCCGAUGGAGGAUGUGGACGGGUUGUCUGCCACCAACUCUGAGGUGGAGAGUGCCAUGAACCACAGGUGUCGCCGGACAAUUCUUCGUGACGCUUGUUUCUCCCAAGAGGUGUUAGAUGCCUUCAAGUCGGGAGAUGCGUACCUCCGUGCCACUCAAAAUGGUCUAGCCAGAGCCACGGAGUAAUAUGUAAAAGACAUACGGGUAAGAAAAUUUUGGUAAUUAUAUAUAUAUAUAUAUAUAUACCAGUAGCCCCCAAGACUUGAAACAGUUAGAAUAACUGAUUUAAGGAUCAUUUGUUAUGUAGGUUCUUACAGAAAAGAAUUCCCUACUGUCCAAGGAGCUGGAAGAGUGCAAAGCCCAACUUGAGGCUGCACUGGCCGCGGCAGGGGAGCCCAAGGAGACCCCCUCUGGUAAUAUACACUUCGAAAGAUAAGUACUUUGCGAAGCACGGCAUGGGUGCGAAUCUGACAAAUGAAAUUGCAGAUGGCGCCGGAUUGAAUUUGGAAAGGCAACACCUCCUACGCCAGCUAAAGGCUGGUGAGAAGGUGUUGACAAAGGUGAGGCGGGAGAAGAACGAUCUCCAAGAUGCCAACACCAAGCUGUGCGUUGAGCUGAAAGAUGUUCGUGCCCAGCUGUCAGAAUCCGUGAAGGAGAAUCAGUGGCUUCGGCGCGGCAUAUUUAGUAAGUGCUUGAACGAACCUUUGAAAGAAAGUUCGGCGGGGAAGUCGACUAACAGAGCAAUGUCUGUAGGUGUGCUAACAGGUCGUCCUGCAGAGGAGAUGCCCGGUUCUACGUGUGACCUUCUUCCCGAGCUCUCGCAACUGCUCGAUCGAGUUCGGCAGGCGAUGUAAGGUGUCACCCAGGCCCUGUGGCCAUCCGUCUCCAUGCCCGAAGGUCUUGGAGAGCUUGCAGAGAAGCUAAAGGGAGCACGGCGACGCUUCCGAUUGUGGAAGAUAUCGGCCUGCCGUCAAGGCGCUAGGGAGGCCUGGGCCAUGGUGAAGACGCGGUACGCAAGGGCUGACCCCAACCACAUGGCCGAGGUCAGUCCUGUAGGGCCCGAUGGGAAGGAGAUCCCUGUAAGCUUAGUAUACGGCCAAGUAGAGUUGGCCGCAAAGUAUUCCCAGCAGGACUGUAAAUUAGACAGCCUGUUAGAUGGUAUUGAAGAGGAAUACAAUUAGUCAAAAUGACUAUGUAAUUUAAUUGACAUUUAUAAUGCCUUCUAGCCGGAUUGUAGAUCAUUUGUCAUGGCCGACCUUUUCGCUUCAGCCUCGGGACCUGACGGUCCGGAGUGUGUCCGAAUUCCCAUGCGGUUAAAAGAGGAACCGGGGAAUUCAUGGAGACCAGGCAUAGGGGUCAUUAGUGCGUGAACAGACAAGUGCCCGACUAGUUAUGUUAUAUUACAUGGUUAGUAAGAAACAUCUUCCAGGGAGAAUAGUUCCGUUAGGGGUUCCUUUCCCUGGGAGGCAUGCCCUAAGGUGCAUGUCUAUGCUGCGAAAAGAAACGCAGGAAAAACAUCUGGGGGCAUAUAGAUAGAAAUGGAAAAGGAUCAUCUUUAGUUCACCGACCGAAUAUUCCCUUAAGAACGCUAGCUUUCGGCUUCACCCAGUCUGAGGUAAACGUCCGGCUGACCCGGCAGUAACAAUCGCAGAGGUGCUCCCUUUACCACCUAGCCGAACAAUCGGGAACGUAGGGGUAAGCACAGGAGCCAGGCAACCCAGCUUGGCCAAAACUUAAGUCAUAUCGAUGCAUAUAAUGGUGAAUAAAAGGUACAUGCGGAAGUGUGACACAUGUGUUGGGCAUGAAGUCCGUAUAAGCUUCUGUUUAAAGAAGCCCCCAGGUUUAAUGAGCAUGGAUAGCGCGUCACUUUAUGAGCCUUUGAAAGGCUAUAAGAGAGAGAGAGAAGAAUAGAAAUGUAAGACAGAAAAUAUAUAAAAAAUGGAUAGAGGAAGGAGACGAACACAGAGUCCGGCGCUAGGCAUAGAAUCUUCGGAGACGGGCUGCGUUCUGUGGGUUCGGCUCGAGUCAGUUAUCCGAUGCAUCCCGCCGGCGGUACGCUCCACCAGCUAGGACUUGGUCAAUUAUGAAGGGACCUUCCCACUUGGGCUUGAGUUUGUCCUUUUUCUUGUCCGGUAGUCGUAGAACUAAUUCGCCAACGUUGUAAUUUUUGGCCCGUACUUCUCUACUUUGGUAUCUUCGAGCCUGCUGUUGAUAGAAUGCGGAACGGGCUUUUGCCACGUCAUGCUCCUCCUCCAAUGCAUCUAAGCUGUCCUGCCGAUCGAGCUCGGCUUCUCUUUCUUCGCACAUGCGCACUCGAGGUGAGUCAUGAAUUAUGUCACAGGGCAAAACUGCCUCUGCGCCGUACACCAUAAUGGUGUGUAUCCGGUGGUGCGAUUCGACGUGGUCCACAGCCCCCAGAGUACGGAGUCGAGCUCCUCUACCAAGUGCGUGCUAGAUUCCUUGAGGGACCACACUAAUCUGGGUUUGAUGCCGCUCAUGAUAAGACCAUUUGCACGUUUGACCUGGCCGUUAGUUUGUGGGUGAUAGACGAAAGCAUAAUCAAGCUUGAUGCCCAUGUUUUUGCACCAGAGUUUUACCUCAUCGGCCGUGAAGUUCGUGCCGUUAUCAGUUAUGAUGCUGUGGGGAACGCCGUAACGGUGUAUGACCCCGGAUAUAAAGUCUAUCACCGGUCCGGAUUCGGCCGUCUUAACAGGCUUAGCUUCUAUCCAUUUGGUGAACUUAUCCACCAUGACCAGUAAGUAUUUUUGCUUGUGGGUUCCGCCUUUCAGGGGUCCAACCAUGUCAAGCCCCCAGACCGCAAAGGGCCAAGUAAUGGGGAUAGUUUGGAGGGCGGUGGGUGGCAUAUGGCUUUGGUUUGCAAAGAGCUGGCAACCGGUGCAUCGUUGGACUAAGUCCUGAGCGUCUGCCCGGGCCGUCGGCCAAUAAAAGCCUGUACGGAAGGCCUUUCUUACAAGGGACUGAGCUGCAGCGUGAUGACCGCCCAGUCCGGCAUGAAUUUCAGCCAGGAGGUUCCGCCCCUCUUCUUCGGAGAUGCACCUUUGAAGGACUCCGGUAGUGCUUUUCUUAUAAAGCUCUACCUCGUGGACUCUGUAGGCUUUGGAUCGCCGCACUAUGCAGCAUGCCUCAUUUUGGUCCUCGGGGAGUUCCUGCCUAAUAUGGUAGGCGUGGAAUGGUUCUGUCCACGGGGCGAUGACGACCAUUAUUACGUGGGCUGAAGGUGUUAUUUCAUUGGCAGAGCCUCCAAUUGUGUCAGAAUGUUCGGUGUCGGGCAGUGCGGUUGGGUCCGGGCUGUUAUUGUUCGGCUCCCCUUCCCAUACAACAGAUGGCUUCAACAGCCUUUCCAAGAAGAUGUUGGGGGGGACUACAUCGCGUUUUGCUCCGAUGCGUGCCAGGACAUCUGCCGCCUGAUUAUUUUCCCGGGCUAUAUGGUGAAAUUCAGCCCCUCGAUCCGAGCUGACAUUUUUAGGACGGCGUUGCGGUAAGCUGCCAUUUUUGGAUCCUUGGCAUCGAAGUCUCCAUUUAUUUGGGAUAUUGCGAGGUUCGAGUCCCCGCACACCUCUAGGCGUUGAAUGCCCAUGGAUACUGCCAUCCAGAGACCAUGUAAAAGGGCCUCAUAUUUGGCUGCAUUGUUGGAGUCCAUGUACAUAAUCUGGAGUACGUAUUGAACUGUGUCUCCUGUGGGGGGCGUCAAAACGACGCCAGCCCCCAGUCCGGCCAACAUCUUGGAGCCUUCGAAAUGCAUGAUCCAAUUUGAAUAUAUGCCGUACUCUUUAGGGAGUUCGGCCUCCGUCCAUUCUGCGACGAAGUCGGCCAAGACUUGCGACUUGAUGGCUCGCCGUGGAUUAUAAGUUAUGUCGAACGGGAGGAGCUCAAUGGCCCAUUUUGCAAUCCGGCCCGUUGCGUCACGGUUGUUUAUAAUAUCGUUAAGUGGUACUUCCGAGGCUACUGUUAUUGAACCUUCUUGAAAGUAGUGUCGUAGCUUCCGGGAUGCCAUGAAUGCCGCGUACGCAAUCUUUUGAUAAUGCGGGUACCGUGAUUUGCAGGGAGUGAGGACAGUGGACACAUAAUAGACCGGCUUUUGAAGGGGGAAUUUGUGUCCGUCCGCUUCUUGUUCGACGACGAGCACUGCGCUUACAACCUGAUGUGUUGCUGCAAUGUAUAAUAGCAUUGGUUCGCCAAUGUUUGGCGCGGCCAGGACUGGGUUUGUUGCCAGUAUGGCUUUUAUUUCGUCGAGUCUGGCCAUGACUGCAUCCGUCCAUUUGAAGUGUUCGGUGCGCCGAAGGAGGUGGUAAAGGGGUAGGACCUUUUCUCCCAAGCGGGAGAUAAAGCAGCUUAGAGCCGCCACGCAUCCGGUUAACUUUUGUAUUUGUUUGAGGUCCUUUGGGAUAUCCAGUUGCGACAGAGCUCGGAUCUUGGCUGGAUUUGCUUCAAUUCCUCUACUGGAUACAAUGAAGCCCAAGAGCUUUCCGGCUGGAAUGCCGAAAACGCAUUUUUCCGGGUUGAGCUUGAUGUCGUAUGUUCGGAGGUUAUCAAAUGUGAGCCUCAAGUUGUCUAAUAGAGAUUCAACAUGUCUUGUUUUGACGACCACAUCAUCUACAUAUGCCUCCACUGUUUUGCCGAUCUGGCUCGCCAGACAUGUCUGAAUCAUGCGCUGAUAUGUUGCUCCGGCGUUUUUGAGCCCGAAGGGCAUCGUGUUGAAGUAGAAUGGGCCGUAUGGUGUGAUAAAUGCCGUUGCGGCUUGGUCUGGUUCUGCCAUCUUGAUUUGAUGGUAGCCGGAAUAUGCGUCGAGGAAACACAACGAAUCAUGUCCUGCGGUAGCGUCGAUAAUUUGAUCGAUGCGGGGGAGGGGGAAGGAAUCCUUUGGGCAAGCCUUGUUAAGGUCUUUAAAAUCAACACACAGGCGCCAGGAUUUGUCCUUCUUUGGUACCAUCACCAGGUUUGCUAGACAGUCCGGGUGUUUUAUAUCUCUGAUGAAUCCGGCCUCCAAUAGCUUCACUAGCUCCUCUCCCAUGGCCUGUCUCUUAGGUUCGGAAAAACGCCGAAGAGCCUGUUUGACAGGUCUGAAUCCUGUUUGGAUAUUUAAGCUGUGCUCGGCCAGCCUGCGUGGGAUUCCUGGCAUGUCUGAAGGGUGCCAAGAGAAAAUGUCCCAGUUCUCUCGUAGGAACUCUCACAGUGCAGCGUCGACAUCAGGGUUUAACUGUGCCCCGAUGGAAGCUGUUUUAUUGGGGUCCGUUGGAUUGACUUGGAAUUUGACUAUUUCGUCCGCCGGUUUAAAGGAGGUGGACUUGGAUCUUUGUCGAGUACCACAUCGUCCCUAUUCACCGUAGAGCGCAACGCAGUCAGCUCCUCAGCCGCUAGGGCUUCGGAUAGUGCCUCGAGGGCCAGUGCGGCUGUCUUGUUUUCGGCGCGGAGUGCUAUGUCCAGAUCACUAGCGAGAGUGAUGAUCCCGUUAGGCCCAGGCAUCUUGAGCUUCAUGUACCCGUAAUGGGGUAUUGCUUCGAAGAUUGUAAACGCUUCUCGUCCUAGCAGACCGUGAUAACCGCUGCUAAACGGAGCCACUUGGAACGUGACCUCUUCGGACCUGUAAUUAUCCGGCGUGCCGAACACCACAUCUAGUGUGAUUUUUCCUGUACAGCGCGCUUCCCGACUGGGGAUUAUUCCUCUAAAGGUUGUGCUGCUUCGCUCAAUGCGGUUCCAGUCUAUUUCCAUUUUUGGAGGGUCUCCUCAUAAAUGAGGUUCAAUCUGCUGCCGCCGUCCAUGAGUACCUUGGUAAGACGAAAGCCGUCCACUAUUGGACUAAGGACCAAUGCGGCUGGUGCUCGGGCUGUUCAGAAUUUAGGUUCAUCACUGGCGUUAAAGGUAAUAGCCGUGUCACUCCAUAGGUUUAUUGUUGCUACUUGGUAGACUUCGGCAAGGCUGCGGAGUGUCCUUUUUCGCAUAUUAUUUGAUGCGAAAGUCUCGAAGACUGUUAAUACCGUAUUGGUGUCUUUAGGGUGGCUUUCUGUGGCCUCCGGAAUUAGGAGACUUUUGCCAAUUUUGGCCACUUGCCGGAGUAUCCAACAUGCUCUAAGGCUGUGAGUUGGUGUGGCGUCCUCUGUACUGUGAAUUUUACAGGGUCCAUUAAGCCAUCCUUCCAGUACGGUUCCAUGCCCUGUAGAGGGUUUUUGCUUUUUGGUGUUUGACCCGGGUGUCUGGUGAUGAUGCACCCUUUUAUUUCGGAUUGGGCUUGUAUUUAGGGCCGGAUUGUCCCAAAAUUUUAUUUUGGUUUAGCGCUUUCCAUGGCACAGUACUUUCGUACAAUGGACGCCAAGUCAGCGAAGCGUGUAAUAUCACGGCGACUUAUGGCGUCGAGUAUUCCCUUGUCCGUGCAAUUAUUGCAGAAGAUUGAGAUUGCGUCUUCCUCGCGGCAGUCCCUUAGCCUAUUCUUAACCAAGAGGAAUCUGGCCCAGUAAUGAUGUACUGUUUCAUCAGGCUCUUGCCUGAUUUUGGAUAGAUUGCUUAUGUUGGGGUGGGUGGGUGGAGUUAAAUCCGAAGCCUCACCCCGUCCGAGGCUCAGAGGCCGAGAAAUUUCCGAACUCGAAAAUUUGGAUCCCUGGGUGUUGUCCAAUGAAUCCAGCCCGUCGCCUGACUCUAAGUUUAGGUCUUGAGUGAUAUCCUCCCCUCCGCGGGUAUCCGACUUGGAGGGAUCGGGAAUCCGGACAUAGCGAGUCCUUAAGAUAGACGAAGGGUCGCCGCACUGUCCCUCUACCACGACAACAUGAUGGGUGACUUGGGGAGAGUUAAUCUCUCUCAGAUCGGGUUUAGGCCCAAUCUGGUCGUAAUCCGUAGUGACUCCCAGGGCGGCGAAGCGAUCCGAGAGCUCGUUUAUGGUGGAGAGCUCCAUUGGAUCUAACUGCUCGGCAAGUUCCGAGCUGACAUGAAGAUUGUUUUCGAUGGCUCGAGAGGUCAUUGUCGGUGCAGACGCCGAACAGGCGGUCAUAAGAAAACCACCUAGCCGGAGGGUUUGGCCGACAGCCAAAGCUCCCUUAGCAACGGUGCCGUCUUUAAAGACGGGGCGAGGCAUCCUUCCUAAUGGCGACGACACAGAGGAACUCUCAAUGAAAGCACCAAUGUCGGUGUCAAAACCGGCGGAUCUCGGGUAGGGGGUCCCGAACUGUGCGUCUAGGCCGGAUGGUAACAGGAGGCAAGGGACAUGAAGUUUUACCCAGGUUCGGGCCCUCUCGAUGGAGGUAAAACCCUACGUCCUGCUUGAUUAAUAUUGAUGAUAUGGGUAGUACAAGAGUAGAUCUACCACGAGAUCGAAGAGUCUAAACCCUAGAAGCUAGCCUAUGGUAUGAUUGUUGAUGUGUAUGUUGUCCUACGGACUAAAACCCUCCGGUUUAUAUAGACACCGGAUAGGGUUAGGGUUACAUAGAGUCAGUUACAAUGGUAGGAGAUCUGUAUAUCCGUAUCGCCAAGCUUGCCUUCCACGCCAAGGAAAGUCCCUUCUGGACACGGGACGGAGUCUUCAAUCUUGUAUCUUCAUAGUCUAGGAGUCUGGCUGAAGGUAUAGUCCGGCCAUCCGGACACCCCCUAAUCCAGGACUCCCUCAGUUAUCUUUUUACAUGAAGAGGGAAUUGAUUACCUUGCAUGGACCUAAAACUGACACAUGAUUUUUUACAUUGCUUUCAAUCAAUUCCUUACCCGAGGCCAAAGAAGAGACAUUGCCUCCUCAACUACACCAUAUACUUGAGAAGUAUACUGAGUUUUUUGCUACACUUGAAGGAUUACCACCCAGAAGGGAUUUUGAUCACAUGAUUCCGCUCUUACCGGUGCAAGGGGUGUCUCCAUUAAACCAUAUAGAGUGGCACUUGAAGGAUAUGCCCUAGAGGCAAUAAUAAAGUUACUAUUUUAUAUAAUAUUUCCGUAUUCAUGAUAAAGGUUUACUAUUCAUGCUAGAAUUGUAUUGAUCGGAAACUUAAAUACAUGUGUGAAUACAUAAACAAAUACCGUGUCCCUAAUAAGCCUCUACUAGACUGGCUCGUUGAUCAAUGAUGGUUAAGGUUUCCUAACCAUAGACAUGUGUUGUCAUUUGAUAACGGGAUCACAUCAUUAGGAGAAUGAUGUGAUGGACAAGACUCAUCCGUUAGCUUAGCACAAUGAUCGUUCAGUUUAUUGCUAUUGCUUUCUUCAUGUCAAAUGCAUAAUCCUUCGACUAUGAGAUUAUGCAACUCCAAGAUACCGGAGGAAUACCUUGUGUGCUAUCAAACAUCACAACGUAACUGGGUGGUCAUAAAGAUUCUCUACAGGUAUCUCCAAAGGUGUUUAUUGAGUUGGCAUAAAUCGAUAUUAGGAUUUGUCACUCCAAGUAUCGGAGAGGUAUCUCUGGGCCCUCUCGGUAAUACACAUCAAAAGCUUGCAAGCAAAUGACUAAGGAGUUAGUCACGAGGUGAUGUAUUACGAAACGAGUAAAGAGACUUGCCAGUAAUGAGAUUGAACUAGGUAUAGAGAUACUGAUGAACGAAUCUCGGGCAAGUAACAUAUCGAUGGACAAAGGCAAUUACGUAUGUUGUCAUAACGGUUCGACCGAUAAAGAUCUCUGAGGGAGUCCUGGUGUUGGGGAACGUUGCAGAAAACAAAAAAUUUCCUACGGUUUCACCAAGAUCCAUCUAGGAGUUCAUCUAGCAACGAGUGAUCGGAUUGCAUCUACAUACCUUUGUAGAUCACGCGUGGAAGCGUUCAAAGAACGGGGAUGAGAAAGGCGUGCUCGACGUGAUCCAAAUCACCGGAGAUCCUAGCGCCGAACGGACGGCACCUCCGCGUUCAACACACGUACGGUCAGCGUAAUGUCUCCUUCUUGAUCCAGCAAGGGGAAGGAGAGGUUGAGGAAGAUGGCUCCAGCAGCAGCACGACGGCGUGGUGGUGAUGGAGCUCCAGUACUCCGGCAGGGCUUCGCCAAGCUCUAUGGAGGAGGAGGAUGUGUUGGAGAGGGAGAGGGAGGCACCAAAGGCGUGGUUUGAGAGGCCCUCCUUCCCCCACUAUAUAUAGGGAGCCUAGGGGGGCGCCGGCCCUAGGAGAUGCAAUCUCCUAGGGGGCGGCGGCCAAGGGAGGAAUCCCUCCUCCCCAAGGCACCUAGGAGGUGCCUUCCCCUUUUAGGACUCUUCCUUUCUUGAUCUCCUGGCGCAUGGGCCUCUUGGGGCUUGUGCCCUUGGCCCAUAUAGGCCAAGGCGCACACCCCUACAGCCCAUGUGCCCCCCCGGGCAGGUGGCCCCACCAGGUGGACCCCCGGGACCCUUCCGGUGGUCCCGGUACAAUAUCGGUGACCCCGAAACUUGUCCCGAUGCCCGAAAUAGCACUUCCUAUAUAUAUAAUUCUUUACCUCUGGACCAUUCUGGAACUCCUCGUGACGUCCGAGAUCUCAUCCGGGACUCCGAACAACAUUAGGGUUACUGCAUAUACAUAUCCCUACAACCCUAGCGUCACCGAACCUUAAGUGUGUAGACCCUACGGGUUCGGGAGACAUGUAGACAUGACCGAGAUCGGUCUCCGGUCAAUAACCAACAGAGGGAUCUGGAUACCCAUGUUGGCUCCCACAUGCUCCUCGAUGAUCUCAUCGGAUGAACCACGAUGUCGAGGAUUUAAGCAACCCCGUAUACAAUUCCCUUUGUCAAUCGGUAUGCUACUUGCCCGAGAUUCGAUCGUCGGUAUCCCAAUACCUUGUUCAAUCUCGUUACCGGCAAGUCACUUUACUCGUACCGUAAUGCAUGAUCCCGUGACCAGACACUUGGUCACUUUGAGCUCAUAAUGAUGAUGUAUUACCGAGUGGGCCCAGUGAUACCUCUCCGUCAUACGGAGUGACAAAUCCCAGUCUUGAUCCGUGUCAACCCAACAGACACUUUCGGAGAUACCCAUAGUAUACCUUUAUAGUCACCCAGUUACGUUGUGACGUUUGGUACACCCAAAGCACUCCUACGGUAUCCGGGAGUUACACGAUCUCAUGGUCUAAGGAAAGGAUACUUGACAUUGGAAAAACUCUAGCAAACAAACUAUACGAUCUUAUGUAUGUUUAGGAUUGGGUCUUGUCCAUCACAUCAUUCUCCUAAUGAUGUGAUCUCGUUAUCAAUGACAUCCAAUGUCCAUAGUCAGGAAACCAUGACUAUCUGUUGAUCAACGAGCUAGUCAACUAGAGGCUUACUAGGGACAUGUUGGUGUCUAUUAUUCACCACAUGUAUUACGAUUUCCGGAUAACGAGCUAGUCAACUAAAGACAAUUAUCAUGAACAAGGAAAUAUAAUAAUAAUGCUUUUAUUAUUUCCUCUAGGGCAUAUUUCCAACAGUCUCCCACUUGCACUAGAGUCAAUAAUCUAGUUACAUUGUGAUGAAUCGAACACCCAUGGAAUUCUGGUGUUGAUCAUGUUUUGCUCUAGGGAGAGGUUUAGUUAACGGAUCUGCUACAUUCAGGUCUGUAUGUACUUUAGAAAUAUCUAUGUCUCCAUCUUGAACAUUUUCACGAAUGGAGUUGAAGCGACGCUUGAUGUGCCUUGUCUUCUUGUGAAACCUGGGCUCCUUGACAAGAGCAAUAGCUCCAGUGUUGUCACAGAAGAGCUUGAUCGGCCCCGACGCAUUGGGUAUGACUCCUAGGUCGGUGAUGAACUCCUUCACCCAAAUUGCUUCAUGCGCUGCCUCCGAGGCUGCCAUGUACUCCGCUUCACAUGUAGAUCCUGCCACGACGCUCUGCUUGCAACUGCACCAGCUUACUGCCCCACCAUUCAAAAUAUACACGUAUCCAGUUUGUGACUUUGAGUCAUCCAGAUCUGUGUCGAAGCUAGCGUCGACGUAACCCUUUACGUCGAGCUCUUCGUCACCUUCAUAAAAGAGAAACAUUUCCUUAGUCCUUUUCAGGUACUUUAGGAUAUUCUUGACCGCUGUCCAGUGUUCCUUGCCGGGAUUACUUUGGUACCUACCUACCAAACUUACGGCAAGGUUUACAUCAGGUCUGGUACACAGCAUGGCAUACAUAAUAGAACCUAUGGCUGAGGCAUAGGGGAUGACACUCAUCUCUUCUAUAUCUUCUGCCGUGGUCGGACAUUGUGCUGAGCUCAAUUUCACACCUUGCAACACAGGCAAGAACCCCUUCUUAGACUGAUCCAUAUUGAACUUCUUCAAUAUCUUAUCAAGGUAUGUGCUUUGUGAAAGACCUAUGAGGCGUCUUGAUUUGUCUCUAUAGAUCUUGAUGCCUAAUAUAUAAGCAGCUUCUCCAAGGUCCUUCAUUGAAAAACUCUUAUUCAAGUAGGCCUUAAUGCUGUCCAAGAGUUCUAUAUCAUUUCCCAUCAAAAGUAUGUCAUCUACAUAUAAUAUGAGAAAUGCUACAGAGCUCCCACUCACUUUCUUGUAAACACAGGCUUCUCCAUAAGUCUGCGUAAACCCAAACGCUUUGAUCAUCUCAUCAAAGCGAAUGUUCCAACUCCGAGAUGCUUGCACCAGCCCAUAAAUCGAGCGUUGGAGCUUGCACACCUAGUCAGCAUUCUUAGGAUCGACAAAACCUUCCGGCUGCAUCAUAUACAAUUCUUCCUUAAGGAAACCAUUAAGGAAUGCCGUUUUGACGUCCAUUUGCCAUAUCUCAUAAUCAUAGAAUGCGGCAAUUGCUAACAUGAUUCGGACGGACUUUAGCUUCACUACCGGUGAGAAAAUCUCAUCGUAGUCAACCCCUUGAACUUGUCGAUAACACUUAGCGACAAGCCGAGCUUUAUAGAUGGUCACAUUACCAUCCGCGUCUGUCUUCUUCUUAAAGAUCCAUUUAUUUUCUAUGGCUCGCCGCUCUACGGGCAAGUCAGUCAAAGUCCAUACUUCGUUUUCAUACAUGGAUCCUAUCUCGGAUUUCAUGGCUUCCAGCCAUUUGUCGGAAUCCAGGCCCGCCAUCGCUUCCUCAUAGUUUGAAGGUUCACCGUUGUCUAACAACAUGAUUUCCAGGACUGGGAUGCCGUACCACUCUGGUGCGGAACGUGUCCUUGUGGACCUUCGAAUUUCAGUAGGAGCUUGAUCAGAAGUAUCUUGAUCAUCAUCAUUAACUUCCUCUCUAGUUGGUGCAGGCACCUCAGGAACAUUUUCUUGAGCUACGCCAUUUUCUGGUUCAAGAGGUAAUACUUCAUCAAGUUCUACUUUCCUCCCACUUACUUCUUUCGAGAGAAACUCUUUCUCUAGAAAGGACCCAUUCUUGGCAAAAAAGAUCUUGCCUUCGGAUCUGAGGUAGAAGGUAUACCCAAUAGUUUCUUUAGGGUAUCCUAUGAAGACGCAUUUUUCCGACUUGGGUUCAAGCUUUUCAGGUUGAAGUUUCUUGACAUAAGCAUCGCAUCCCCAAACUUUUAGAAAUGACAACUUAGGUUUCUUUCCAAACCAUAAUUCAUACGAUGUCGUCUCAACGGAUUUCGACGGAGCCCUAUUUAAAGUGAAUGCGGCAGUCUCUAAAGCAUGCUCCCAAAAAGAUAGCGGUAAAUCGGUAAGAGACAUCAUAGAUCACACCAUAUCUAAUAGAGUGCGAUUAUGACGUUUGGACACACCAUUACGCUGAGGUGUUCCAGGCGGCGUGAGCUGUGAAACUAUUCCACAUUUUCUUAAGUGUGUGCCAAACUCAUGACUCAAGUAUUCUCCUCCACGAUCUGAUCGCAGGAACUUGAUUUUCCUGUCACGUUGAUUCUCAACCUCACUCUGAAAUUCUUUGAACUUUUCAAAGGUCUCAGACUUGUGUUUCAUUAAGUAGACAUACCCAUAUCUACUCAAGUCAUCAGUGAGGGUGAGAACAUAACGAUAGCCACCGCGAGCCUCAACACUCAUUGGACCGCACACAUCAGUAUGUAUGAUUUCCAAUAAGUUGGUUGCUCGCUCCAUUGUUCCUGAGAACGGAGUCUUGGUCAUUUUACCCAUGAGGCAUGGUUCGCACGUGUCAAAUGAUUCGUAAUCAAGAGACUCUAAAAGUCCAUCUGCAUGGAGCUUCUUCAUGCGUUUGACACCUAUGUGACCAAGGCGGCAGUGCCACAAGUAUGUGGGACUAUCAUUAUCAACCUUACAUCUUUUGGUAUUCACACUAUGAACAUGUGUAGCAUUACGCUCGAGAUUCAUUAAGAAUAAACCAUUCACCCUCGGAGCAUGACCAUAAAACAUAUCUCUCAUAUAAAUAGAACAACCAUUAUUCUCGGAUUUAAAUGAGUAGCCAUCUCGAAUUAAACGAGAUCCCGAUACAAUGUUCAUGCUCAAAGCUGGCACUAAAUAACAAUUAUUGAGGUUUAAAACUAAUCCCGUAGGUAAAUGCAGAGGUAGCGUGCCGACGGCGAUCACAUCGACCUUGGAACUAUUCCUGACGUGCAUCGUCACCUCGUCCUUCGCCAGUCUCCGCUUAUUCCGCAGCUCCUGCUUUGAGUUACAAAUGUGAGCAACUGCACCGGUAUCAAAUACCCAGGAGCUACUACAAGUACUGGUAAGGUACACAUCAAUUACAUGUAUAUCACAUAUACCUUUUGUUUUGCCGGCCUUCUUGUCUGCUAAGUAUUUGGGGCAGUUUCGCUUCCAGUGACCACUUCCCUUGCAAUAAAAGCACUCAGUCUCGGGCUUGGGUCCAUUCUUUGGCUUCUUCCCGGUAGCUUGCUUACCGGGCGCGGCAACUCCCUUGCCGUCCUUCUUGAAGUUCUUCUUACCCUUGCCUUUCUUGAACUUAGUGGUUUUAUUCACUAUCAACACUUGAUGUUCCUUUUUGACUUCUACCUCUGCUGAUUCCAGCAUUGCAAAUAAUUCGGGAAUGGUCUUUUCCAUCCCCUGCAUAUUGAAGUUCAUCACAAAGCUCUUGUAGCUUGGUGGAAGUGACCGAAGGAUUCUGUCAAUGACUGCGUCAUCCGGGAGAUUAACUCCCAGCUGAGUCAAGCGGUUAUGUAACCCAGACAUUGUGAGUAUGUGCUCACUGACAGAACUAUUUUCCUCCAUCUUACAGCUAAAAAAUUUGUCGGAGACUUCAUAUCUCUCGACCUGGGCAUGAGCUUGGAAAACCAUUUUCAGCUCUUCGAACAUCUCAUAUGCUCCGUGUCUCUCAAAACGUUUUUGGAGCCCCGGUUCUAAGCUAUAAAGCAUGCCGCACUGAACGAGGGAGUAAUCAUCAGCACGUGUCUGCCAAGCGUUCAUAACGUCUUGGUUCUGUGGGACGGGUGCGUCACCUAGCGGUGCUUGUAGGACAUAAUCUUUCUUGGCAGCUAUGAGGAUGAUCCUCAGGUUCCGGACCUAGUCCGUAUAGUUGCUGCCAUCAUCUUUCAGCUUGGUUUUCUCUAGGAACGCGUUGAAGUUGAGGACAACGUUGGCCAUUUGAUCUACAAGACAUAUUGUAAAGAUUUUAGACUAAGUUCAUGAUAAUUAAGUUCAUCUAAUCAAAUUAUUCAAUGAACUCCCACUUAGAUAGACAUCCCUCCUGUAAUCUAAGUAUAACAUGAUCCGAGUUAACUAGGCCGUGUCCGAUCAUCACGUGAGACGAACUAGUCAACGUCGGUGAACAUCUUCAUGUUGAUCGUAUCUUCUAUACGACUCAUGCUCGACCUUUCGGUCUUCUGUGUUCCGAGGACAUGUAUGUACAUGCUAGGCUCGUCAAGUCAACCUAAGUGUUUGCAUGUGUAAAUCUGUCUUACACCCGUUGUAUGUGAACGUUGGAAUCUAUCACACCCGAUCAUCACGUGGUGCUUCGAAACAACGAACUGUCGCAACGGUGCACAGUUAGGGGGAACACUUUCUUGAAAUUGUUAUGAGGGAUCAUCUUAUUUACUACCGUCGUUCUAAGCAAACAAGAUGUACAAAACAUGAUAAACAUCACAUGCAAUCAAAUAAUAAUAGUGACAUGAUAUGGCCAAUAUCACAUAGCUCCUUUGAUCUCCAUCUUGGGGCUCCAUGAUCAUCUUGUCACCGGCAUGACACCAUGAUCUCCAUCAUCAUGAUCUCCAUCAUCGUGUCUCCAUGAAGUUGCUCGCCAACUAUUACUUCUACUACUACGACUAACGCGUUUAGCAAUAAAGUAAAGUAAUUUACAUGGCGUUUCUCAAUGACACGCAGGUCAUACAAAAAAUAAAGACAACUCCUAUGGCUCCUGCCGGUUGUCAUACUCAUCGACAUGCAAGUCGUGAUUCCUAUUACAAUAGAAUGAACAUCUCAUACAUCACAUAUAUAUCAUUCAUCAUUCAUCACAACUUUGGCCAUAUCACAUCACAGAACACUUGCUGCAAAAACAAGUUAGACGCCCUCUAAUUGUUGUUGCAAGUUUUACGUGGCUGCAAUAGGGUUCUAACAAGAACGUUUUCUUACCUACGUGAAAGCCACAACGUGAUUUGUCAACUUCUAUUUACCCUUCAUAAGGACCCUUUUCAUCGAAUCCGCUCCAACUAAAGUGGGAGAGACAGACACCGCCAGCCACCUUAUGCAACUAGUGCAUGUCAGUCGGUGGAACCGGUCUCACGUAAGCCUACGUGUAAGGUUGGUCUGGGCCGCUUCAUCCCACAAUACCGCUGAAGCAAGAUAAGACUAGUAGCGGCAAGAAAGUUGACAACAUCUACGCCCACAACAAAUUGUGUUCUACUCGUGCAAAGAGAACUACGCAUAGACCUAGCUCAUGAUGCCACUGUUGGGGAACGUUGCAGAAAACAAAAAAUUUCCUACGGUUUCACCAAGAUCCAUCUAGGAGUUCAUCUAGCAACGAGUAAUCGGAUUGCAUCUACAUACCUUUGUAGAUCACGCGCGGAAGCGUUCAAAGAACGGGGAUGAGGAAGGUGUGCUCGACGUGAUCCAAAUCACCGGAGAUCCUAGCGCCGAACGGACGGCACCUCCGCGUUCAACACACGUACGGUCAGCGUAACGUCUCCUUCUUCUUGAUCCAGCAAGGGGAAGGAGAAGUUGGGGAAGAUGGCUCCAGCAGCAGCACGACGGCGUGGUGGUGAUGGAGCUGCAGUACUCCGGCAGGGCUUCGCCAAGCUCUAUGGAGGAGGAGGAUGUGUUGGAGAGGGAGAGGGAGGCACCAAAGGCGUGGUUUGAGAGGCCCUCCUUCCCCCACUAUAUAUAGGGAGCCUAGGGGGGGCACCGGCCCUAGGAGAUGCAAUCUCCUAGGGAGGCGGCGGCCAAGGGAGGAAUCCCUCCUCCCCAAGGCACCUAGGAGGUGCCUUCCCCUUUUAGGACUCUUCCUUUCUUGAUCUCCUGGCGCAUGGGCCUCUUGGGGCUGGUGCCCUUGGCCCAUAUAGGCCAAGGCGCACACCCCUACAGCCCAUGUGGCCCCCGGGUCAGGUGGCCCCACCCGGUGGACCCCCGGGACCCUUCCGGUGGUCCCGGUACAAUACAGGUGACCCUGAAACUUGUCCCGACGGCCAAAAUAGCACUUCCUAUAUAUAAUUCUUUACCUCCGGACCAUUCCGGAACUCCUCAUGAUGUCCAGGAUCUCAUCCGGGACUCCGGACAACAUUCGGGUUACUACAUAUACAUAUCCCUACAACCCUAGCGUCACCGAACCUUAAGUGUGUAGACCCUACGGGUUCGGGAGACAUGUAGACAUGACCGAGAUCGCUCUCCGGUCAAUAACCAACAGCGGGAUCUGGAUACCCAUGUUGGCUCCCACAUGCUCCUCGAUGAUCUCAUCGAAUGAACCAUGAUGUCAAGGAUUCAAGCAACCCCGUAUACAAUUCCCUUUGUCAAUCGUUAUGCUACUUGCCCAAGAUUCGAUCGUCGGUAUCCCAAUACCUUGUUCAAUCUCGUUACCGGCAAGUCACUUUACUCGUACCGUAAUGCAUGAUCCCGUGACCAGACACUUGGUCACUUUGAGCUCAUAAUGAUGAUGUAUUACCGAGUGGGCCCAGUGAUACCUCUCCGUCAUACGGAGUGACAAAUCCCAGUCUUGAUCUGUGUCAACCCAAAACACACUUUCGGAGAUACCCGUAGUAUACCUUUAUAGUCACCCAGUUACGUUGUGACGUUUGGUACACCCAAAGCACUCCUACGGUAUCCGGGAGUUACACGAUCUCAUGGUCUAACGAAAGGAUACUUGACAUUGGAAAAACUCUAGCAAACGAACUAUACGAUCUUAUGCUAUGUUUAGGAUUGGGUCUUGUCCAUCACAUCAUUCUCCUAAUGAUGUGAUCUCGUUAUCAAUGACAUCCAAUGUCCAUAGUCAGGAAACCAUGACUAUCUGUUGAUCAACAAGCUAGUCAACUAGAGGCUUACUAGGGACAUGUUGGUGUCUAUUAUUCACACAUGUAUUACGAUUUCCGGAUAACACAAUUAUAGCAUGAAUAAAGACAAUUAUCAUGAACAAGGAAAUAUAAUAAUAAUGCUUUUAUUAUUGCCUCUAGGGCAUAUUUCCAACACCUGGAUUAGGGGGUCUUCGGACAGCCGGAUUAUAUCCUUCGGCCGGACUGUUGGACUAUGAAGAUACAAGAUUGAGGACUUCGUCUCGUGUCCGGAUAGGACUCUACUUGGUGUGGAAGGCAAGCUAGGCAAUACGGAUAUGGAUAUCUCCUCCUUUGUAACCGACCUUGUGUUACCCUAACCCUCUCCGGUGUCUAUAUAAACUGGAGGGUUUUAGUCCGUAGGACACAACAACUACAACAUACAAUCAUACCAUAGGCUAGCUUCUAGGGUUUGCCCGGAGAACUACUGCGAUUGUCCCCUGGUUCUGUCGGGCUUAGCACCUCAGUAGAGAAAGCUAAAACUGACUGUCAUGAUAAGGCGAGAGACUGGUCGCUGUUCGGCGAGGUUUUCGAGUCCCUAAAGACUUAUGCCGCUUAGGGCGAGGGGCCGGCCCUGUUUGGCUUAAAGGCGUGUAUCGCGCCCCGAAUUCGGCCUUCUGAAUACCAGGGGCUUCGCCGAAAUUAAAAUUAUAGAAUCCUAUGGCUAAGUGAGAGUGAUAAAGCAUUAUUAGUCCGGUCGCCUUGUUCGUUGUGCUGAGCACCUCCCUCGAAGGACCCAAACAUGGGAACAAGAGUGCUCAGGUUUAUCCCGAACACCCCAGCACUCGUGGCAUGGGGGCAGAAGCCGAGGACUAGCCAUCUCUCAGAUUGGAUAAACGGCCAAACAGAAGGUAAUAUUUUAAAUUCACACAAGCGUUGCAUAGCGCAUAUCAAACAAGUUUUCAUCAUACAGGAUCACACGAGCAAGUUUACUCAAAUAUUACAUCCUUUGAACAUUCGUCCGCUACAAGACGGGCACCCUUCAGGACACCCUCAUAAUAAAUUUCGGGGGUGCGAUGCUCCUUGCCCUGCGGCGGCCCUUCCUUGAUCAGCUUCACAGCAUCUAGCUUGGCCCAUUGCACCUUCACAUGGGCGAAAGUCCGGCGUGCCCCUUCGAUGCAGACGGACCGCUUGACGACCUCUAGCCGUGGGCAGGCAUCCACAAGCCGACUCACCAGGCCGAAGUAGCUGUUCGGAAGGGCGUCGCUAGGCCACAGCCGGACUAUAAGGCCCUUCAUGGCCUGUUCGGCCGCCUUGUGCAGCUCGACCAGCUGCUUUAGCUGGUCGCUCAGAGGCAUCGGGUGUUCGCUCUCAGUAUACUAAGACCAAAACAGCUUCUCCGUUGAGCUUCCCUCCUCGGCCUGGUAAAUCUGUGCGGCAUCCGACAUGCUGCGGGGAAAAUCUGCGAAUGCUCCUGGAGAGCUCCGAAUUCGGGUAAGUAAUCGGUAAUUUACUUUUACAUGCUUGCUUUGCAUAUAGAAUGCCUUACCCGCCGCUAUUUUCUUCAUCGCAUCAAUCUCUCGAGUCGAAAAAGAAGCGGUAGAAAAAGACUUUGCAACGACCAAGAAGAAAACACAUUUACUAUAAAACAACUCAUAUAAAUUUUAAGAGCCCCCAAGUGACUUGGGUAAAAUAAUUUUAUGUAUAAUGAUUGUAUGUACCGAUGUACUUAUAUCAUAUCAGUGUUCACCCGAGCUUUAAACGCGUCUUAACCGACCAUCAGCUUCUCCCUCUUCAGUCAAGGACCGAAAAGAGUCAUGUACUCCACCUGUUGAAAGCAUCGACGGUGUUUCUGAUAACCAAGCAAUCAGGCCAUAAGGCUGUAAUAGACAAAGCACGCUCAGGGAACUUAUGCUAUAUUACUAACGAAGUGUAAGAAGCAUAUUCGAAGAAAAUAGUACCUCCACCGAUACCUUUCUUUGGUUUCUCAUUGUUACCAUGAGACUUGUGCAAUAGAUUUUUUAUACUCAUGAUUUCUGUUGUGUGCCAACCAUUAUUGAAAUCAAUAAGAGCGGUAGCUUUCGGCUUCACCCAGUCUGAGGUACUAACUCGGAUGACCCGGUAGUAACAAUCGCAGAGAUGCUCCCUUUACCGCCUAGCCGAACAAUCGGGAAUGUAGGGGUAAGCAUAGGAGCCAGGCAACCCAGCUUGCGAAACACUUAAGUCAAUAUGGUGCAUAUUGUGGCGUAGUACACGAACAAGGAACGUAUCCGUACAAGUAUAAUCAUAUGCAAGAGGAAAGACUUCAUAAAGGAAGCCCCUAAAUAAACGGGGUAUUUGAAUUUGUGUGUCACAAACAAAGGUUUGACAGGGAAUUUUGUCACAAACAACUUUUUGCCAAAAAGGUAUAAUGCUUGGUUAAACCGAACAAAAUUCAAAAACUGAAAGUUUUUGAGCAUGAAAGCGACUUAGCUGGUUAAUGUGGUCGAUGUUGAUGACGCAUGCCGAGAUUGUUGUGCGACGAGAUCCUAGCCCCCAAGCCGACCCCGAGAUGUCCGAGUAAAGAGCUCGGCUUGAUGAAGUGGUGACGCAGCAUAGUCGAUGAGCGAGGUGAAAACCCCAGUCCGACCGCGGUGACGGAGCAGGACGGCAGUGUGACGCCGAAGCCCCGGUCCAGCCGAGGUGAUGUGGUAGGUCGGCAAGGUGACGACAGAACCCCCACAUCAGCACAUUGGUGCGCCUAGGUAAUAGCGCUGCCCGACCGAAAUCAUUUACCUGUGCACAAAAAAUAGUGCAAUCCGGAGAUAAUAAUAAUAAAAAAUCUCUGCAUAAUUAAUAAUUUAAACAAAGUGAAUAAUAAAAGAAAUAUGGCCCGUGUGCCGAACACUCGAUGAGGUAGAGCUCUCUUAGUGAUGCCAAAGUCCCCGAGGCAACCGAACAUGUCGGUAUGGCGAUUCGACCAACAAGGUGAUCACGCGAGCCGAUUUAUGCCGAUUGGGACAACGACGUCGGCUUGCCAAAGUGACCGUGUGACGCAGUCGAAGUCGAUCACCUACCCAGAUAAAAUAGUGCGGUCCAAAAAGGAUAAUUGCUUUUCGCAAAAAUAAUUUAUCAAAAGAGAUGUAUCCUGGCGCCGGAGUCAAUGUCGAUGCAGGGCAUCGGCGUGACGCGGUGAAGGCGUGGCAAAGCCUGACUUCACAUGCCGGUCUGAGUUCUAGACGCGGCAUUCGCCGAACUGUAUACGGAAACUGACCGAAUCACCACGCGACCGUUGUUAAUGCGGCCACCAUUUGAUAUACCUGUGUACAGACGAUGAAACAAACCAGAGUAAUAAUUCCUUGUUAGAAAUAAACCCAUGCAAGAAAAAAAACUAGGAUUAAUAGCACCUGGUUUAUUUGUUGUAGCAAUCUGGAGAAAGGUUACUCCCAAAAUUGGGACUCGAUCCGCACACCCAUUGCCUGAUGGGUGAUGAAGCGGUGGCAUGGCGAUGCUGGCAAAGGUUGGCUCGCCGAGGCAAAGCCCGUGGUCCAGCUAAUGUGAUGAAGCUGGUCGGCUGGUGACGCCGAAGUCUCCGAAAUAAGUUGAUGAAGAGAUGGCGAAGCCCUCGGUCUAGCCGAGGAGACGGAGCAGGUCGGUAAGGAGAUGUUGCAGCUGCCAUGUCAGCCGAGGUGUGGAAGCAGUUCGGCGUGAUGGAUAUCGGCUUGAAGAAGCAAUAGUGCGGCCAUGCCGACGCAUGUCGUAACUUGUGACGCGGUCAAUGCCGGCUUGAUGAAGUGACCAUGCGGCGAUGCCUGUGUGCCCGCUCCGUGUAGUCGUGGGGCGGCGAUGUUGGUGAUGAUCUAUCCUUGGUGAUUCCGAACUCUUGUUCGCUCGCCGAGAUGAUGAUCCGAAGAAGUUGAGCUCGGCUCAAAAAGUGACGACGUGUCUAGCGCAGGUUGGCAGCCGUGGAGCAAUAUUGCCGGACUGGUUUGACACUAGCAUGAUGGUGAAGAUUACCUCAGAGGAGGCUUAAAAUUUUAUGGGCACUUGUUUAAAAACAAUGCACAAUACCCUAGAAGAAAAAAUCCUUUUAAAAGGUUGUCCAAUAUCACGUACAUGAAGAAACAUGAAUUCGGGUCGAAUCCGUGUCCGCGCAGAAAAUAGAUCCGAAAAGUGAUACACUAAUCGGAAGGUUUCCGGAGUUUGGACGGUCGGAUCGAGCUGAAAUUUUGUGGUGUGGUAGAUAUAGGAAUUCCUCAGCUGAUCAACGGUUGGAUCUUCCAAAGUAUGUCCGAGCUAGGUGCUGGAGACCACGCCCUAAACUUGUCCAGAUUCCCGUCCAGAUUUGACAGGGCUCCGGUAUAUCAUAGAUUGCCGGAGAUUCCUCCAUCGGAACUCGAUGAAUUUUUGCAUGGUUGUUGUAGACUCAAUUAUACACAAUUUCACCAAAGGAAUCGUGAAAGCGAUGCUCGAGGAGGCGGUGGCAGCGGAUACAAGUUCGUUGUUCGAAAAAACAGCAUGGUCGCCCGAGGGCAAUGUUGACGUUGAGCCCCCGAGCUCCAUGGAUGAUUCCUCCAUGAUCUUGGUAGAGAUCGGAGUUGAUGUUGAUGAAGGCCCCUGUCCGAACAUGAUGAUCGGAGAUGGAGCGUGGUACUCGGUCGAGCCGAGGUGACCAGUCGAGCCGGUGACGAAGAUGCCGGCAUCACAAUUGAUCUGCGGGCGAGCCAUUGAUCCUUUGCCGAUCACACAGCGAAACUCUCAAUGAAAGCACCAUUGUCGGUGUCAAAACCGGCAGAUCUCGGGUAGGGGGUCCCAAGCAGUGUAUCAUGGAUCGAUGGGCAACAGGAGACAAGAGACACGAUGUUUACCCAGGUUCAGGCCCUCUUGAUGGAGGUAAAACCCUACGUCCUGCUCUUGUUUAUAUUGAUGGAGUAUCAAGUACAGAGUUGAUCUACCUCGAGAUCAUAUGUUAUGCUAAAACCUAAGGGUAUUAUGAAUAAUAUCAUAAUAAUCUAUUGACUAGCCUGGCCUCGUCUUAUAUAACAUACCAGCGGCCUAGGAUAAUAAAAGUCCUACUCAAAUACGUCGGUGGAGAGGAGUCCUUGUCUUGAUCACCAAGUCUUGUGGAAUCUUCCUCGUAUAUGUCUUUGGCUGUCCGAACUGGCCCAUGAGUAAACGGCCAUGGGGUCCUCGGCCCAAUCCAACUGAUCGGAAGACGAUGUGGUGAGUACCCCCUAGUCCAGGACACCGUCAGUACCUAAAGAGGAAUAAGGAAAUGUUUCUCGGUAAUGGAGGUGAUAAAGAGUUUGUCGUAAAGAGUUAUGACGAUGCAAACCUUGAAACCGAUCUGGGUGACUCUGAGUCUCGAUUUGGAUACAUAUUGAAAGUGGGAGCAAUUAGAUAGAGUAGCUCCAUCCAGAGCAUUGUAGACAUAGAAAUUUACAAAAUACAUACACAUCUGAAUGUGACAGAGCCAUUGACCAAACCUCUCUCACAAGCAAAACAUGAUCACACCUUAGUACUCUUUGGGUGUUAACCACAUGGCGAUGUGAAUUAGAUUAUUGAUUCCUGUAAACUCUUUGGGUGUUGGUCACAUCACGAUGUGAACUAUGGGUGUUAAAUCACAUGAUGAUUUGAACUAGAUUAUUGACUCUAGUGCAAGUGGGAGAUGCUACCUCUUGAGCACUGCGUUGGUUUUCCCUUGAAGAGGAAAGGGUGAUGCAUCAAAGCAGCGUAAGUAUUUCCCUCAGUUUUUGAGAACCAAGGUAUCAAUCCAGUAGGAGACCACGUGCAAGUCAACUCGUACCUACACACACAAAUAAGAACCUCGCAACCAACGUGAUAAAGGGGUUCUCAAUCCCUUCACGGCCACUUGCAAGAGUGAGAUCUGAUAGAGAUGAUAAUAAUAAGAUAAAUAUUUUUGGUAUUUUUAUGAUAUAGAUUGAAAGUAAAGAUUGCAAAGUAAAAUAGAUUGGAAACUUGUAUGAUGGAGAAUAGACCCGGGGCCAUAGGUUUCACUAGUGGCUUCUCUCAAGAUAGCAUAGGUAUUACGAUGGGUGAACAAAUUACUGUCGAGCAAUUGAUAAAAAAGCGAACAAUUAUGAGAAUAUCUAGGCAUGAUCAUGUAUAUAGGCAUCACGUCUGUGACAAAUAGACCGACUCCUGCCUGCAUCUACUACUAUUACUCCACACAUCGACCGCUAUCCAGCAUGCAUCUAGAGUAUUAAGUUCAUAAGAAUAGAGUAACGCCUUAAGCAAGAUGACAUGAUGUAGAGGGAUAAACUCAUGCAAUAUGAUGUAAACCCCAUCUUGUUAUCCUAGAUGGCAACAAUACAAUACGUGUUGUUUCCCUUUCUGUCACUAGGAUCAAGCACCGCAAGAUUGAACCCAAAGCUAAGCACUUCUCCCAUUGCAAGAAAGAUCAAUCUAGUAGGCCAAACCAAACUGAUAAUUCGAAGAGACUUGCAAAGACAAACCAAUCAUACAUAAAAUAAUUCAGAGAAGAUUCAAAUAUUGUUCAUAGAUAAACUUGAUCAUAAACCCUCAAUUCAUCGGAUCUCGAUAAACACACCACAAAAGAAGAUUACAUCAAAUAGAUCUCCAAGAGAAUCGAGGAGAACUUUGUAUUGAGAUCCAAAGAGAGAGAAGAAGCCAUCCAGCUACUAGCUAUGGACCCGAAGGUCUGAAGUAAACUACUCACACAUCAUUGGAGGGGCCAUGGAGUUGAUGUAGAGGCCCUCCGUGAUCGAUUCCCCCUCCGGCGGAGCUCCGGAAAAGGCCCCAAGAUGGGAUCUCUUGGGUACAGAAGGUUGCGGUGGUGGAAUUAGGUUUUUGUGGUGCUCCUGGAUGUUUGUGGGGUACGUGGAUAUAUAUAGGAGGAAGAAGUACGUCGGUGGAGCAACGAGGGGCCCACGAGGGUGGAGGGCGCGACCAGGGGGUGGGCGCGCCCCCCUGCCUCGUGGCCGCCUCGUUGGUUGCUUGACGUCCACUCCAAGUCUCCUGGAUCACGUUUGUUCCAAAAAUCACGCCCCCGAAGGUUUCAUUCCGUUUGGACUCCAUUUGAUAUUCCUUUUUUACGAAACACUAAAAUAGGCAAAAAAACAACAAUUUGGGCUAGGCCUCCGGUUAAUAGGUUAGUCCCAAAAAUAAUAUAAAAGUGUAAAAUACAGCCCAUUAACAUCCAAAAUAGAUAAUAUAAUAGCAUGUAACAAUCAAAAAUUAUAGAUACGUUGGAGACGUAUCAAGCAUCUCCAAGCUUAAUUCAUGCUCGUCCUUGAGUAGGUAAAUGAUAAAAACAGAAUUUUUGAUGUGGAAUGCUUCCUAACAUAUUUCUCAAUGUAAAUUUUCUUUAUUGUGGCAUGAAUGUUCAGAUCUGAAAGAUUCAAGAUAAAAGUUUAAUAUUGACAUAGAAAUAAUAAUACUUCAAGCAUACUAACUAAGCAAUCAUGUCCUCUCAAAAUAACAUGGCCAAAGAAAGUUAUCCCUACAAAAUCAUACAGUCUGGCUAUGCUCUAUCUUCAUCACACAAAAUAUUAAAUCAUGCACAACCUCGAUGACAAGCCAAGCAAUUGUUUCAUACUUUUGAUGUUCUCAAACUUUUUCAAUUUUCACGCAAUACAUGAGCGUGAGCCAUGGAUAUAGCACUAUAGGUGGAAUAUAAUGGUGAUUGUGGAGAAGACAAAAAGGAGAAGAUAGUCUCACAUCAACUAGGCGUAUCAACGGGCUAUGGAGAUGCCCAUCAAUAGAUAUCAAUGUGUGUGAGUAGGGAUUGCCAUGCAACGGAUGCACUAGAGCUAUAAGUGUAUGAAAGCUCAACAAAAGAAACUAAGUGGGUGUGCAUCCAACUUGCUUGCUCAUGAAGACCUAGGGCAAUUUGAGGAAGCCCAUCAUUGGAAUAUACAAGCCAAGUUCUAUAAUGUAAAAUUCCCACUAGUUUAUGAAAGUGACAACAUAGGAGACUCUCUAUCAUGAAAAUCAUGGUGCUACUUUGAAGCACAAGUGUGUAAAAAGGAUAGUAACAUUGUCCCUUCUCCCUUUUUCUCUCAUUUUUUUUAAUUAUUUGGGCCUUCUCUUUUUUUGGCCUCUUUUCUUUCUUUUCUUCUUUUUUUUCGCCCGGAGUCUCAUCCCGACUUGUGGGGGAAUCAUAGUAUCCAUCAUCCUUUCCUCACUGGGAAAAUGCUCUAAUAAUGAUGAUCAUCACACUUCUUUUUUACUCACAACUUAAGAGUUACAACUCAAUACUUAGAACAAAAUAUGACUCUAUGUGAAUGCCUUCGGCAGUGUACCGGAAUAUGCAAUGAAUCAAGAGUGACAUGUAUGAAAAAAUUAUUAAUGGUGGCUUUGCCACAAAUACGAUGUCAACUACAUGAUUAUGCCAAGCGAUAUGACAAUGAUGAAGCGUGUCAUAACAAACGGAACGGUGGAAAGUUGCAUGGCAAUAUAUCUCGGAAUGGCUAUGGAAAUGCUGUAAUAGGUAGAUAUGGUGGCUGUUUUGAGGAAGGUAUAUGGUGGGUUUAUGGUACCGGCGAAAGUUGCGCGGUACUAGAGAGGCUAGCAAUGGUGGAAGGGUGAGGGUGCGAAAAACCAUGGACUCAACAUUAGUCAUAAAGAACUCACAUACUUAUUUCAAAAAUCUAUUAGUUAUCGAAACAAAGUACUACGCGCAUGCUCCUAGGGGGAUAGAUUGGUAGGAAAAGACCAUCGCUCGUCCCCGACCGCCACUCAUAAGGAAGGCAAUCAAUAAAUAAAUCAUGCUCCGACUUCAUCACAUAACGGUUCACCAUACGUGCAUGCUACAGGAAUCACAAACUUCAACACAAGUAUUUCUCAAAUUCACAACUACUCAACUAGCAUGACUCUAAUAUCACCAUCUCCAUAUCUCAAAACAAUCAUCAAGUAUCAAACUUCUCUUAGCAUUCAAUGCACCUAUAUGAAUUUUUUUUUAUUAUUCCUAAAAGCAAAUUGUCAUGUUGUUCUAAAAGACUCUCAAAAAUAAUAUAAGUGAAGCAUGAGAGAUCGAUAAUUUCUACAAAAUAAAACCACCGCCAUGCACUAAAAUAUAUAAGUGAAGCACUAGAGCAAAAACUAUAUAGCUCAAAAGAUAUAAGUAAAGCACAUAGAGUAUUCUAAUAAAUUCCAAUUCAUGUGUGUCUCUCUCAAAAGGUGUGUACAACAAGGAUGAUUGUGGUAAACUAAAAAGCAAAGACUCAAAUCAUACAAGACGCUCCAAGUAAAACACAUAUCAUGUGGCGACUAAAAAUAUAGCUCCAAGUAAAGUUAUCGAUGAACAAAGACAAAAGAGGGGAUGCCUUCCGGGGCAUCCCCAAGCUUAGGCUUUUUGGUGUCCUUGGAUUUACCUUGGGGUGCCUUGGGCAUCCCCAAGCUUAGGCUCUUGCCACUCCUUGUUCCAUAAUCCAUCAAAUCUUUACCCAAAACUUGAAAACUUCACAACACAAAAUUGGUAUGUCUUGACUUGGUGUAGAUCUCCCCGGCAAUGGUGCCAGAAAUCCUUCUUGCUACCUCUUGAGCACUAUGUUGGUUUUCCCUUGAAGAGGAAAGGGUGAUGCAGCAAAGCAGCGUAAGUAUUUCCCUCAGUUUUUGAGAACCAAGGUAUCAAUCCAGUAGGAGACCACGCGCAAGUCACCUCAUACCAACACACGCAAAUAAGAACCUCGCAACCAACGCGAUAAAGGGGUUGUCAAUCCCUUCACGGCCACUUGCAAGUGUGAGAUCUGAUAGAGAUGAUAAUAGUAAGAUAAAUAUGUUUGGUAUUUUUAUGAUAUAGAUUGAAAGUAAGGAUUGCAAAAUAAAAUAGAUUGGAAACUUGUAUGAUGACGAAUAGACCCUGGGGCCAUAGGUUUCACUAGUGGCUUCUCUCAACAUAGCAUAAGUAUUACGGUGGGUGAAAAAAUUACUGUCGAGCAAUUGAUAGAAAAGCGAAUAAUUAUGAGAAUAUCUAGGCAUGAUCAUGUAUAUAUGCAUCAUGUCUGUGACAAGUAGGCCGACCCCUGCCUGCAUCUACUACUAUUACUCCACACAUCGACCGCUAUACAGCAUGCAUCUAGAGUAUUAAGUUCAUAAGAACAUAGUAACACCUUAAGCAAGAUGACAUGAUGUAGAGGGAUAAACUCAUGCAAUAUGAUGUAAACCCCCAUCUUGUUAUCCUCGAUGGCAACAAUACAAUACAUGUCGUUUCCCUUUCUGUCACUGGGAUCGAGCACCGCAAGAUUGAACCCAAAGCUAAGCACUUCUCCCACUGCAAGAAAGAUCAAUCUAGUAGGCCAAAGCAAACUGAUAAUUCAAAGAGACUUGCAAAGAUAAACCAAUCAUACAUAAAAGAAUUCAGAGAAGAUUCAAAUAUUGUUCAUAGUUAAACUUGAUCACAAACCCACAAUUCAUCGGAUCUCAACAAACACACUGCAAAAGAAGAUUAUAUCGAAUAGAUCUCCAAGAGAAUCGAGGAGAACUUUGUAUUGAGAUCCAAAGAGAGAGAAGAAGCCAUCUAGCUACUAGCUAUGGACCUGAAGGUCUGAAGUAAACUACUCACACAUCACCAGAAGGGCCAUGGAGUUGAUGUAGAGGCCCUCCGUGAUCAAUGCCCCCUCCGGCGGAGCUCCGAAAAAGGCCCCAAGAUGGGAUCUCUUGGGUAUAGAAGGUUGCGGCGGUGGAAUUAGGUUUUCGUGGUGCUCCUGGAUGUUUGCGAGGUACGUGGAUAUAUAUAGGAGGAAGAAGUGCGUCAGUGGAGCAACGAGGGGCCCACUAGGGUGGAGGGCACGCCCAGGGGGGUGGGCGCCCCCCUUCCUCGUGGCCGCCUCAUUGAUUGAUUGACAUCCACUCCAAGUCUCCUGGAUCACGUUUGUUCCAAAAAUCACGCUCCCGAAGGUUUCAUUCCGUUUGGACUCCGUUUGAUAUUCCUUUUCUACAAAACACUGAAAUAGGCAAAAAAAACAACAAUUUGGGCUGGGCCUCCGGUAAAUAGGUUAGUCCCAAAAAUAAUAUAAAAGUGUAAAAUAAAGACCAUUAACAUCCAAAAUAGAUAAUAUAAUAGCAUGGAGCAAUCAAAAAUUAUAGAUACGUUGGAGACGUAUCAGGAGACUGAAGGAAAUAUGCCCUAGAGGCAAUAAUAAAGUUGUUAUUUUAUAUUUUCUUAUUCAUGAUAAAGGUUUAUUAUUCAUGCUAGAAUUGUAUUGAUCGGAUACUUAAAUACAUGUGUGAAUACAUAAAAAAUACCGUGUCCCUAGUAAGCCUCUACAAGACUAGCUCAUUGAUCAAAGAUGAGGUUUCCUAACCAUAGACAUGAGUUGUCAUUUGAUAACGGGAUCACAUCAUUAGGAGAAUGAUGUGAUGGACAUGACCCAUCUGUUAGCUUAGCAUAUUGAUCGUUCAGUUUAUUGCUAUUGCUUUCUUCAUGUCAAAUACUUAUUCUUUCGACUAUGAGAUUAUGCAACUCCGGAUACCAGAGGAAUACCUUGUGUGCUAUCAAACGUCACAACGUAACUGGGUGAUCAUAAAUAUGCUCUACAGGUAUCUCCGAAGGUGUUUUUUGAGUUGGCAUAGAUCGGGAUUAGGAUUUGUCACUCCAAGUAUCGAAGAGGUAUCUCUAGGCCCUCUCGGUAAUACACAUCAUAAGUUUGCAAGAAAAUGUCUAAGCAUUUAGUCACAAGGUGAUGUAUUACGGAACGAGUAAAGAGACUUUUUGGUAACGAGAUUGAACUAGGUAUGAAGAUACCGGCCAUCGAAUCUCGGGCAAGUAACAUACCGAUGGACAAAGGGAAUUACGUAUGUUGUCAUAACGGUUCGAUCAAUAAAGAUCUUCGUAGAAUAUGUAGGUGCCAAUAUGGGCAUCCAUGUUCCGCUAUUGGUUAUUUACUGGAGAGGUGUCUUGAUCAUGUCUACAUAGUUCUUGAACACGUAGGUUCCGCACGCUUAACGUUUCAUUGAUGAUAUAGUAUUAUAUGAGUUAUGUGAUUUGGUGAUCGAAUGUUGUUCGGAGUCCAGGAUUAGAUCACAAACACGACGAGGAGUCUCGAAAUGGCCGAGAGGUAAAGAUUGCUAUAUAGUACGAUGGUAUUCGGACACCGGAAGUGUUUCAGGGUGUACCGGGUACUUAUCGGGUCACCGGAAGGGGUUCCGAGCACCCCUGACAAAAGAUAUGGGCCUUAUGGGACAACAGGGGAAACGGACAAGCCACAAGGGGCUGGUGCGCCCCCAUAUGGGCCGGCCUAAGGAGGAGAAGGGAAAGGAAAGCAUGGAUUAGGAUUCCCACUUCCUUCCCUCUCCCCCUCUUUCCUUUCCCCUUGGAGAGACAUGGCAUGGGGGCGCAGGGCAAGGCAAGGCUCCUAGGGGGGCGGCGACCAGCCCUAGGGAGCGUCGUAGCUGUGACGCCCGGAUAAUUAAGCUACAGUGAUCCUCUGCUAGUGAUGCCACGUCACCUCAAUUAUAGUUGCUAAUCUUGAGUUAGUUCAAAACCGGUCCAAAAUUCAAAAUUCAAAUUAAUGAUAACGAUAAAAGCUUUCAAAAAAAUAAAACUAAAAAGUUCGGUGGUUGUCAAAUAUUACAUCGGUAAUUAUGGUGGAGUGCACACAUUUUUAUAAAGUGUCUGAAUAUUUUAAAAUGAAUUAAAACAGAAAAAGAAAAAUAAGAAAAGAAAAUAAAAACAAACCGAAUAAAUAAAGGGAGGGGAGAAAACCCCACUGGCCCAACUGGGCCAAGCCCCACCUGGCCCAGCCGGCCACCCCCUGGCCCGGCCCAACCCCCUCACUCCCUUANNNNNNNNNNNNNNNNNNNNNNNNNNNNNNNNNNNNNNNNNNNNNNNNNNNNNNNNNNNNNNNNNNNNNNNNNNNNNNNNNNNNNNNNNNNNNNNNNNNNNNNNNNNNNNNNNNNNNNNNNNNNNNNNNNNNNNNNNNNNNNNNNNNNNNNNNNNNNNNNNNNNNNNNNNNNNNNNNNNNNNNNNNNNNNNNNNNNNNNNNNNNNNNNNNNNNNNNNNNNNNNNNNNNNNNNNNNNNNNNNNNNNNNNNNNNNNNNNNNNNNNNNNNNNNNNNNNNNNNNNNNNNNNNNNNNNNNNNNNNNNNNNNNNNNNNNNNNNNNNNNNNNNNNNNNNNNNNNNNNNNNNNNNNNNNNNNNNNNNNNNNNNNNNNNNNNNNNNNNNNNNNNNNNNNNNNNNNNNNNNNNNNNNNNNNNNNNNNNNNNNNNNNNNNNNNNNNNNNNNNNNNNNNNNNNNNNNNNNNNNNNNNNNNNNNNNNNNNNNNNNNNNNNNNNNNNNNNNNNNNNNNNNNNNNNNNNNNNNNNNNNNNNNNNNNNNNNNNNNNNNNNNNNNNNNNNNNNNNNNNNNNNNNNNNNNNNNNNNNNNNNNNNNNNNNNNNNNNNNNNNNNNNNNNNNNNNNNNNNNNNNNNNNNNNNNNNNNNNNNNNNNNNNNNNNNNNNNNNNNNNNNNNNNNNNNNNNNNNNNNNNNNNNNNNNNNNNNNNNNNNNNNNNNNNNNNNNNNNNNNNNNNNNNNNNNNNNNNNNNNNNNNNNNNNNNNNNNNNNNNNNNNNNNNNNNNNNNNNNNNNNNNNNNNNNNNNNNNNNNNNNNNNNNNNNNNNNNNNNNNNNNNNNNNNNNNNNNNNNNNNNNNNNNNNNNNNNNNNNNNNNNNNNNNNNNNNNNNNNNNNNNNNNNNNNNNNNNNNNNNNNNNNNNNNNNNNNNNNNNNNNNNNNNNNNNNNNNNNNNNNNNNNNNNNNNNNNNNNNNNNNNNNNNNNNNNNNNNNNNNNNNNNNNNNNNNNNNNNNNNNNNNNNNNNNNNNNNNNNNNNNNNNNNNNNNNNNNNNNNNNNNNNNNNNNNNNNNNNNNNNNNNNNNNNNNNNNNNNNNNGCGAGCUCGUAGCGCUCGCCUCCGUUGUUCCCAACCCCUCUGGCCACCCCCGCUCGACGCGCGACGCCGAGCUGCGUCGAACGCGCCCGGCCACGGCCCAGCAGACCCCCCUGGGCGCGAAUCCCGCGUCCCUCCCGAACCGCGCCGCCGCGUUUGGCUCGCCGGAGGCAGCUCCGGCGCGUCUCCGGGCGGUGUCCGGCGUGGCAUCCACAUGGCACCGCCUGGGCCACUGACUGGUGGGCCCAGGCCCCCCCCCGACCUGUUGACUCGGUCAGCUAGGCUGACUGGGCCGGCCAGGCCAAUGACAUGGGCCCCCCCAGAACGUUUUUGAAAAAUAAAAGAAAAAGAAAAAGGGGAAUUAAAUAAAUAUAAUUAUUAAAAAUGAAAAUGAAUAAAAUUAAUUAAUUAAAUAAUUAAUUAAGUAAAUAAUUAAUUUAAUUAAUCCUGAUUAAUUAACCUAAUGGCUAAUUAACCUAAUUAACUACUGUUAAUUAAACUAAACUAGGGUAAUUAGUUAACAGUCACUGACGAACGGGACCCACCUGUCGGGUUGACCAAGUCAACCCUGUUGACUGCUGACGUCAGCAUGACAUCAUGCUGACGUCAUAAAGUCAUUUUCGAAUUAAAUAAUUAAUUAAUUAAACUCCAGAAAUUAAUAAAAUCUUUAGAAAAUCAUAUCUUUUAAUCCGUAACUCGGAUUAAAAUAUUUUCAACAUGAAAGUUGCUCAGAAUGACGAGACGAAUCCGGAUACGCGGUCCGUUCGUCCGCCACACACCCCUAACCUAUCGAACCCGUAACUUUCCCCCUUCGGCUCCUCUGCCCGAAAACACGAAACACCGGGAAUACUUUCCCGGGGGUUUUCCCCCCCUUCACCGGUAUCACCUACUACCGCGUUAGGGCACACCGAACACCGCGUAUUGCCUUGAUAUAUUUUGUGGUGCUUUGUUUGCUCUGUAUUCAUUAUUUCUUCCCCCUCUUCUCUUCGGUAGACUACGAGACCGACGCUGCUGCUGACCAGUUCGACUACGGAGUUGACGACCCCUCUCUCUUGCCAGAGCAACCAGGCAAGCCCCCCCCCCUUGAUCACCAGAUAUCUCCUAUUCUACUCUAUACUGCUUGCAUUAGAGUAGUGUAGCAUGUUACUGCUUUCCGUUAAUCCUAUUCUGUUGCAUAGCCAGUCAUUGCUGCUACAGUCAUUGAUACCUUACCCGCAAUCCUAAAUGCUUAGUAUAGGAUGCUAGUGUUCCAUCAGUGACCCUACACUCUUGUCCGUCUGCCAUGCUAUACUACUGGGCUGUGAUCACUUCGGGAGGUGAUCACGGGCAUAUACUAUAUACUUUACACUGUUACAUUACUGGUGAUACUGUUUGGAGAUGGGGGCUGAAGGGGCAGGUGGCUCCAUCCAGGUAGUGGUGGGCCUGAGUUCUCGACGGCCCCCGACUGUUACUUUGUGGCGGAGCGACAGGGCAGGUUGAGACCACCUAGGAGACAGGUGGGCCUGGCCCUGUUCGGCGUUCGCGGAUACUUAACACGCUUAACGAGAUCUUGGUAUUUGAUCUGAGUUAGCUACGAGCCUAUAUGCACUAACCAUCUACGUGGGAGUAGUUAUGGGUAUCCCGACGUCGUGGUAUCAGCCGAAGCACUUCAGACGUCAGCGACGGAGCGGCGCGCGCCGAAUUGGACUGGAACACCACUAGGCUAGGUCUGCUUUCGGCCGCCCUCGCAACGUGCAGGUGUGCUAUGGGCGAUGGGCCCAGACCCCUGUGCGCUUAGGUUUAGACCGGCGUGCUGGCCUCUCUGUUGUGCCUAGGUGGGGCUGCGACGUGUUGAUCUUCCGCGGCCGGGCAUGACCCAGGAAAGUGUGUCCGGCCAAAUGGGAUCAAGCGUGUUGGGUAAGUUGGUGCACCCCUGCAGGGAAGUUAAUCUAUUCGAAUAGCCGUGAUCUUCGGUAACAGGACGACUUGGAGUUGUACCUUGACCUUAUGACAACUAGAACCGGAUACUUAAUAAAACACACCCUUCCAAGUGCCAGAUACAACCGGUGGUCGCUCUACCUCAGGGAUACGAGGAGAGGAUCGCCAGGUAGGAUUAUGCUAUGCGACGCUACUGGAGAGGUUACUUGGGGAUGCUACUUGAAGAUGCUACUUGGAGGACUUAAAUCUAUUCUCUUCUACUUGAUGCAAGACGGUGGCUGCGAGAAGCGUAGUCUUCGACAGGAUUAGUUAUCCCCCUCUUAUUCUGGCAUUCUGCAGUUCAGUCCAUUGAUAUGGCCUCCUUACACAUAUACCCAUGCAUAUGUAGUGUAGUUCCUUGCUUGCGAGUACUUUGGAUGAGUACUCAUGGUUGCUUUCUCCCCCUUUUUCCCCUUUCCUUUCUUUCUGGUUGUCGCAACCAGAUGUUGGAGUCCAGGAGCCAGACGCCACCGUCGACGACGACCACUACUACACUGGAGGUGCCUACUACUACGUGCUACCCGCUGAUGACGACCUGGAGUAGUUUAGGAGGAUCCCAGGCAGGAGGCCUGCGCCUCUUUCGAUCUGUAUCCCAGUUUGUGCUAGCCUUCUUAAGGCAAACUUGUUUAACUUAUGUCUGUACUCAGAUAUUGUUGCUUCCGCUGACUCGUCUAUGAUCGAGCACUUGUAUUCGAGCCCUCGAGGCCCCUGGCUUGUAUUAUGAUGCUUGUAUGACUUAUUUAUGUUUUAGAGUUGUGUUGUGAUAUCUUCCCGUGAGUCCCUGAUCUUGAUCGUACACAUUUGCGUGCAUGAUUAGUGUACGAUUGAAUCGGGGGCGUCACAAGUUGGUAUCAGAGCCGACUGCCUGUAGGAAUCCCCCUUUCCAACUCCUUGGUCGAAGUUGAGUCUAGACAUUGCAAAACUUUUACUAACAUGGCUGUGCGGCCCAUGGGCCCACGUCGCCAUUGGGUGGUACUAGGAUCUUUUACUCCUCGACCUUUACUCUGGGAUUCUGAACUCUCCUCUAUUCGGGUUAAACGAUUUUUACAAAAAUCUAACUUUAGGUUCUCGAAAAUACUUUCUCCCGGAGAGGCCCUUCAGUCCAGAUGAUCACCGACUGCACCAGAAGAUUUCGAAGAUACUCUCCGAUUUUCUCUUGAGACCUUGUGCCCAUUGCCUUUGCAAUUCCCUACCACUGAAAUAUCCCUAUUGAUAAAUACUUACACCUGUCGUGCUUACUUUUAUUCUCAGUCGAUCUUGUUAUUACAAGAUACCCUGAGAAUAUUUUGUGCCUACUGCCUUGCAGUUCUUUGCCACCUGAAUACCCCUAAGAAUAACUUCUCGCACCUUCCGAGUAUCCGCUCAUCCCAGUUGUUCAGGUGUUUCACAAAAGACUUUGAAAUACUAUUCAAUCCUCCGAUAAUCCUUAGCAGCUUUAUUGCUCUGCAAAUACUUGUCUACUAGCAUUAUGGAUGCUUCCCAUAUAUCUGGCAAUAUUCACUAGUAUCUUUUGACAUCGUCAUUUUGAUCCUAUUGAUUCAACAUGUGUGCGAAUGCACACAAUCAUCUAUCAACCCUUCUAACUUAUCUUUCCGAAUGAGACAUCAUUUUUGAACAUGAGCUGGUUCUCGACCAAACUAUUUGUCGCCAAUUGUGCCUCUGGUUUAUCCAACUUAUCCAUCCUUGGUCAGAGCGACUGCUUCUGAUCUUUUGUUUUGGAAAUCAUAAUUCCUUUGUUAUCUAAGCAUCGGAUUAUUCCGAUGUUCUAUAAUAUGAUGCCCGUGCAUUCUUUCUGGAAUACCGAUACUCACCUCAACUCCGUUGUGGAUUGCCCGAUCCAUUGUUGGAUUGCUAUCCGACAGUGUCCUUCAUAUUCAAUCACCUUGUGAGUUCUUCCCCUGAUACAUAGUGCCUUUGGUAAAUUGUAUCAUCUGCUUGGCCAACCAUGCUCUGCUUUCGAGCUGGUGGUAUUUACUAUUGAAGUUUGUGGUAUAUGUUCCUAAGAUGCCCUGAUGGGUUGAACCUACGCCUUCCCUAAUCCGUGUGAACCCGAAAGAUUACACGGGUCAUAUUUAUCUGGUAUUGCACCAGGUAAAAAAAACACUUUCAACAACUAAUGUCAUUUUCGAAAUACGAGAGGUGAAUGAAAGGUUAUGCAUUGAAGAAGUGGGAGUCGACCUUGAACUUUGUGUUCAUGCCCAUGGACGCGAUGUAUAUCCUAUCGUGGAAGCUUCUUGUAAUAACAACUAUUUCCUUGAUAGCUAACAUAUGGUAUCUGUGAAUUGAUCCCUUGCAACCGUGGUUCCGACCAUGAUUGUUCUUCUUUGAUUCCAUUUCUCGGACAAGUUAAAACAAUUGUCUUCUAUGGAUCAAUACACCAGUCCAACCUUUACUUUGAUCUUGUGUUGAGUAUUACCCCCCUGGUAUCUCGAGAUUAUCAUGGUACUGCAUAACUUCUUAUGAGUUCUUCAUCAAGUGCUACCUUACCACUGAUUCCAAUUUUUCACGGGCUCUGAGUUAUUAAACACUCAAAGACACCGAUAACUGAACCGAGUCCGCUCUACGGUUCAACAACUCUUCAGUAAGCUUCUAUAAGUAUGAGUUUGUACCCGAUCACGCCAUUCCUAGCUUGUUUGGCUACAUCAUUGUCGUGAUGAUUCUAACUGUGCUACCUGGUCCUUAUUCUCGGAGCACCAAUCUGCGACGAUAGCUAAGCUUACGUCGAUCUUCCUCGUCAUAUCAUUUCGCCUUGAACAACAAGCUAGAUUUCAAGUUUGUGUCGUACCUAUGGUUCCAAUAACCUCUAGCUUCAUCAUUCUUUUGACUUGAUGUGAUCGCGGAUCGAUUACAUCUUCGUGGAAUCUCUCGACAAAUGUGUCAUGAUCACCAUCUACAUUCUGAUGCUCUUCCAGGAUAUCAAUUGAAUUAAUGAUGAGAAAUACCAUCCUUGCCCUCGAUGAUUUGUGUUGUCAUCGACCUCUUUAUUGCGUUCCCUCCAACAACAACUUGUUUGUGUUCUGUGUUAUACCUCGAGUUCCUUGCUACCUAGCAUUUGUUCUUCAUUACCAUGGAGUAUUACCAUCUUUUAUGUCAAGAAGGUCGUGAGGAUUACUCCACCUCUUAAGAAUUCUUGGUAUGGUGAUACUUCUCACCCUCACCAUUCUUUCUUGGUACCCGUGUUGUUUCUAACCGGAAUACCGACAAUUGAACUAUGAGGUGUGAAUUCAAAACUUCUAGCAACCCUAUUGCUUUGAAGUAAUGGUCGAGUUUCAUUUAAAUUCUUUUGUUCGUCAAAUCACCAUUCUAACAUUGGUCGUGCAACCCAACCCGUACUUCGGGCGCACCCUUCAACCAAUGUUUAAUUGUGUAUGUUUUUCCUCGAGCAUACUUCCUUAUAUCAGUUGAUCUGACAAAUGUUAUCUCCUUGUUCACUUAAUGGUGGAAAUCCAUCUUUUGGGAAUAUCGGUGAAUUGCCGUUGAGUUCACCAGACACCUUGUCCUCUCCUUGGUUUAAUGGUGAACUAUUGCUUCAGAAACCCGCUCCCAUAGUUCAUUUCCCGAGAAGCUUGCAAUGCCAUUUCAACGAUUGGUGUUGCGCCUUUUCUUCUCGGACAUCCUGAGUCUCAGGUAUCCUGACACCAAUCGGAUCUGAAUCUCGGUCAGAUAUGAUGGUUGGGACAACUUUCCAAGAGUUAUGACGUUGAUCCUUUGAUGACCCGGUAACAUGAUGUCAUGCCUAGCACCCCCCCCCCCGGCUGGAGGACCUAUCAUUAUAGAUUCCUUUUCAGCAAGAUUAUCCAUUCGUCCAUCAGGAAAUUGUAAGACUUAUUCUACAAGUUAUUCCUGAUGGAUCCUUCGUGUUUCCAAAGUCUGAUCUUCACCUGAAGACCAUGUCAAUGCUAUCUCGAAGCAUGUCAAUGGUACUCCGAUUUUCAACAGGAACAUUUGAAGCACGAUACUAAAUUUUAUUUAUCACUUAUCCUAACACCGUUGUAUGGGUAAUAUCAUGAGAUUCCUUUCCCCUUACCUAAAUGGUUUUCUACUUUAUAUCCUGUCAUGGAUAUCAUGCUCUGCUUGUCAUUGGGAAGGAUAUACCCCUGAAAUAUGUGUUUAAACACAUUUUCCUUUCCAUCGUUCUGUUUAAUCUGAUGAUCAUAUUUUCCUUCCAUUGUUGGUUUAACCUUUCUUGUGAACUAUAUGAUCUGAGCAGUAAUAUUCUCCUGCUUAUGUAAACACCUCGGUGUACAACUCUGUCAGAGAGACCCUGUUACUUUUGUUGGUGACAUUUCAGUAACCACCGAUGGACGAGAACUUUGCCUAUUGGUCUGCCUCGUUUCAACGAGCAGGAAAAUGGUUCUCCUUGUCCCUCGCCUUGGUACCGAUGUAGUUGCUGACAUAUAACUGGCAGGCUAACCUCUGACAUGCCUUACUUGCAUGAUCGUGCGAGACAUCACCGCCUUCCUACUUUUAACCCACAUGGUGGGCCCAUAACCCACAGUUCCACAGGAUCGAAACCUGACUCUCCUAUACAACCUGAUGUCAAAGUUAUUCCUCGAGCCUGACUUCGUAUGUAAUUCAUGGGCCACAUGCCUAGUAAUCUAUUCUGGUAUCAGACAAAAUACUUACUCUCGCUACUCUGAACCCCUUUCUCACUCUGGUUCAGGCUUCGAGCAACUAGCUAUCCGCUUGGAGCCUCUUAUGGUACCUUCGUACCUUACUCUCGAGGUAUUUCAUAUGUUCAACUCGAGAGAUAAUCUUAUACUCAUUCCUGGGUUAACCCCAGAUUGUUUCCCUCAAAAGCAUUAUGUCGUAGUGAGCUGCCCCUUAUCCUUUCGUAAGUACGAUGGAGUUCCCGAAGAAAUGAUGACAAGUUUAUCAGGAUGCAUUGGAAUAAAGAAUGGAAGACACCAAAGAAAGGGAUUAACUUCUUCGAGAAGAUCUGUUAGAAUAUCGUAACCAGAACUUUCCCCCUUACUCCCCUCUUAAAUCUCGGGACGAGAUUUCUUGUAGUGGAGGAGAAUUGUGACGCCCGGAUAAUUAAGCUACAGUGAUCCUCUGCUAGUGAUGCCACGUCACCUCAAUUAUAGUUGCUAAUCUUGAGUUAGUUCAAAACCGGUCCAAAAUUCAAAAUUCAAAUUAAUGAUAACGAUAAAAGCUUUCAAAAAAAUAAAACUAAAAAGUUCGGUGGUUGUCAAAUAUUACAUCGGUAAUUAUGGUGGAGUGCACACAUUUUUAUAAAGUGUCUGAAUAUUUUAAAAUGAAUUAAAACAGAAAAGGAAAAAUAAGAAAAGAAAAUAAAAACAAACCGAAUAAAUAAAGGGAGGGGAGAAAACCCCACUGGCCCAACUGGGCCAAGCCCCAACCUGGCCCAGCCGGCCACCCCCUGGCCCGGCCCAACCCCCUCACUCCCUUAUCCCCCCCGGUCGGCAGGAAACCCUAGCCGCACCCAUUCNNNNNNNNNNNNNNNNNNNNNNNNNNNNNNNNNNNNNNNNNNNNNNNNNNNNNNNNNNNNNNNNNNNNNNNNNNNNNNNNNNNNNNNNNNNNNNNNNNNNNNNNNNNNNNNNNNNNNNNNNNNNNNNNNNNNNNNNNNNNNNNNNNNNNNNNNNNNNNNNNNNNNNNNNNNNNNNNNNNNNNNNNNNNNNNNNNNNNNNNNNNNNNNNNNNNNNNNNNNNNNNNNNNNNNNNNNNNNNNNNNNNNNNNNNNNNNNNNNNNNNNNNNNNNNNNNNNNNNNNNNNNNNNNNNNNNNNNNNNNNNNNNNNNNNNNNNNNNNNNNNNNNNNNNNNNNNNNNNNNNNNNNNNNNNNNNNNNNNNNNNNNNNNNNNNNNNNNNNNNNNNNNNNNNNNNNNNNNNNNNNNNNNNNNNNNNNNNNNNNNNNNNNNNNNNNNNNNNNNNNNNNNNNNNNNNNNNNNNNNNNNNNNNNNNNNNNNNNNNNNNNNNNNNNNNNNNNNNNNNNNNNNNNNNNNNNNNNNNNNNNNNNNNNNNNNNNNNNNNNNNNNNNNNNNNNNNNNNNNNNNNNNNNNNNNNNNNNNNNNNNNNNNNNNNNNNNNNNNNNNNNNNNNNNNNNNNNNNNNNNNNNNNNNNNNNNNNNNNNNNNNNNNNNNNNNNNNNNNNNNNNNNNNNNNNNNNNNNNNNNNNNNNNNNNNNNNNNNNNNNNNNNNNNNNNNNNNNNNNNNNNNNNNNNNNNNNNNNNNNNNNNNNNNNNNNNNNNNNNNNNNNNNNNNNNNNNNNNNNNNNNNNNGAGCCCCUUGUACUCAGCGCGUCGCGCAGCCCCCCUGGCCUUCCGUUAGCCCCGUAGCCGUUCCCGAACCUCGCCCGAAGCACCUCGCCACCGGCGAGCUCGUAGCGCUCGCCUCCGUCGUUCCCAACCCCUCUGGCCACCCCCGCUCGACGCGCGACGCCGAGCCGCGUCGAACGCGCCCGGCCACGGCCCAGCAGACCCCCCUGGGCGCGAAUCCCGCGUCCCUCCCGAACCGCGCCGCCGCGUUUGGCUCGCCGGAGGCAGCUCCGGCGCGUCUCCGGCCGGUGUCCGGCGUGGCAUCCACAUGGCACCGCCUGGGCCACUGACUGGUGGGCCCAGGGCCCCCCCCGACCUGUUGACUCGGUCAGCUAGGCUGACUGGGCCAGCCAGGCCAAUGACAUGGGCCCCCCCAGAACGUUUUUGAAAAAAAAGGAAAGGGGAAUUAAAUAAAUAUAAUUAUUAAAAAUGAAAAUGAAUAAAAUUAAUUAAUUAAAUAAUUAAUUAAGUAAAUAAUUAAUUUGAUUAAUCCUGAUUAAUUAACCUAAUGGCUAAUUAACCUAAUUAACUACUGUUAAUUAAACUAAACUAGGGUAAUUAGUUAACAGUCACUGACGAACGGGACCCACCUGUCGGGUUGACCAAGUCAACCCUGUUGACUGCUGACGUCAGCAUGACAUCAUGCUGACGUCAUAAAUUCAUUUUCGAAUUAAAUAAUUAAUUAAUUAAACUCCAGAAAUUUAUAAAAUCUUUAGAAAAUCAUAUCUUUUAAUCCGUAACUCGGAUUAAAAUAUUUUCAACAUGAAAGUUGCUCAGAACGACGAGACGAAUCCGGAUACGCGGUCCGUUCGUCCGCCACACACCCCUAACCUAUCGAACCCGCAACUUUCCCCCUUCGGCUCCUCUGCCCGAAAACACGAAACACCGGAAUACUUUCCCGGGGGUUUUCCCCACUUCACCGGUAUCACCUACUACCGCGUUAGGGCACACCGAACACCGCGUAUUGCCUUGAUAUAUUUUGUGGUGCUUUGUUUGCUCUGUAUUCAUUAUUUCUUCCCCCUCUUCUCUUCGGUAGACUACGAGACCGACGCUGCUGCUGACCAGUUCGACUACGGAGUUGACGACCCCUCUCUCUUGCCAGAGCAACCAGGCAAGCCCCCCCCCCUUGAUCACCAGAUAUCGCCUAUUCUACUCUAUACUGCUUGCAUUAGAGUAGUGUAGCAUGUUACUGCUUUCCGUUAAUCCUAUUCUGAUGCAUAGCCUGUCAUUGCUGCUACAGUCAUUGAUACCUUACCCACAAUCCUAAAUGCUUAGUAUAGGAUGCUAGUGUUCCAUCAGUGACCCUACACUCUUGUCCGUCUGCCAUGCUAUACUACUGGGCUGUGAUCACUUCGGGAGGUGAUCACGGGCAUAUACUAUAUACUUUACACUGUUACAUUACUGGUGAUACUGUUUGGAGAUGGGGGCUGAAGGGGCAGGUGGCUCCAUCCAGGUAGUGGUGGGCCUGAGUUCCCGACGGCCCCCGACUGUUACUUUGUGGCAGAGCGACAUGGCAGGUUGAGACCACCUAGGAGACAGGUGGGCCUGGCCCUGUUCGGCGUUCGCGGAUACUUAACACGCUUAACGAGAUCUUGGUAUUUGAUCUGAGUUGGCUACGAGCCUAUACGCACUAACCAUCUACGUGGGAGUAGUUAUGGGUAUCCCGACGUCGUGGUAUCAGCCGAAGCACUUCAGACGUCAGCGACGGAGCGGCGCGCGCCGAAUUGGACUGGAACGCCACUAGGCUAGGGCUGCUUUCGGCCGCCCUCGCAACGUGCAGGUGUGCUAUGGGCGAUGGGCCCAGACCCCUGUGCGCUUAGGUUUAGACCGGCGUGCUGGCCUCUCUGUUGUGCCUAGGUGGGGCUGCGACGUGUUGAUCUUCCGCGGCCGGGCAUGACCCAGGAAAGUGUGUCCGGCCAAAUGGGAUCAAGCGUGUUGGGUAAGUUGGUGCACCCCUGCAGGGAAGUUAAUCUAUUUGAAUAGCCGUGAUCUUCGGUAACAGGACGACUUGGAGUUGUACCUUGACCUUAUGACAACUAGAACCGGAUACUUAAUAAAACACACCCUUCCAAGUGCCAGAUACAACCGGUGGUCGCUCUACCUCAGGGAUACGAGGAGAGGAUCGCCGGGUAGGAUUAUGCUAUGCGACGCUACUGGAGAGGUUACUUGGGGAUGCUACUUGAAGAUGCUACUUGGAGGACUUAAAUCUAUUCUCUUCUACUUGAUGCAAGACGGUGGCUGCGAGAAGCGUAGUCUUCGACAGGAUUAGUUAUCCCCCUCUUAUUCUGGCAUUCUGCAGUUCAGUCCACUGAUAUGGCCUCCUUACACAUAUACCCAUGCAUAUGUAGUGUAGUUCCUUGCUUGCGAGUACUUUGGAUGAGUACUCACGGUUGCUUUCUCCCCCUUUUUCCCCUUUCCUUUCUUUCUGGUUGUCGCAACCAGAUGUUGGAGUCCAGGAGCCAGACGCCACCGUCGACGACGACCACUACUACACUGGAGGUGCCUACUACUACGUGCUGCCCGCUGAUGACGACCUGGAGUAGUUUAGGAGGAUCCCAGGCAGGAGGCCUGCGCCUCUUUCGAUCUGUAUCCCAGUUUGUGCUAGCCUUCUUAAGGCAAACUUGUUUAACUUAUGUCUGUACUCAGAUAUUGUUGCUUCCGCUGACUCGUCUAUGAUCGAGCACUUGUAUUCGAGCCCUCGAGGCCCCUGGCUUGUAUUAUGAUGCUUGUAUGACUUAUUUAUGUUUUAGAGUUGUGUUGUGAUAUCUUCCCGUGAGUCCCUGAUCUUGAUCGUACACAUUUGCGUGCAUGAUUAGUGUACGAUUGAAUCGGGGGCGUCACAGUAGCCUCUCCCCUCCCCCUCCCACCUAUAUAUAUAUGUGGGAGGGGGCGCCUAGCACACACCAGAUCAAUUGUUAGCCGUGUGCGACACCCCCCUCCAUCGUUUACACCACCAGUCAUAUUUUCGUAGUGCUUAGGCGAAGCCCUGCGGAGAUCACUUCACCAUCACCGUCAUCAUGUUGUCGUGCUGACGGAACUCAUCUACUAUCUCGACACCUUGCUGGAUCAAAAAGGCAAGAGACGUCCCCGAGCUGAACGUGUGCUGAAUGCGGAGGUGUCGUACGUUCGGUUCUAGAUCGGUUAGAUCGCGAAGAAAGUUCGACUAAAUCAACCGCGUUGUGAAACGCUUCCACUUACGGACUACGAGGGUACUGUAACGCCUCGAGACCGGCGCUCCAGAUGCCUUCCAUGGAUUGCGAGAUUCGUCGUGUGAUUUGUUUGGUUCGUUGCAUUCAUCUUUGCAUCAUUGGCAUUGCAUCAUGUUAUCUUGUAAACCGUUUUAAAACUCAACUAAAUAAAUUGUAUGGAUCUUCGAUCCAUUUAAAUCGAGGGAAAUGCACAUGGUGAUUUCUCUUUAUAACAUAUAUCCUCCCAAUAUUAUUAGGGAGCUAUAAUAUUAUAUUCCAUUAAUUUGGAAUUUACCAUAACACACGUGCAUGUUAAAUUCCUUGGCCUUUCCUUCUUCAAGUUUUGACUCUCUGACCUUGCCAUAAUUAUUUUCCCAAUCGUCGAGGCUCUGUCUAAAUUCUCAACAUUUUUGGACACUCUGAAAUCCUAGACUCCAUUCAAACUCCUUUGGUGCAAGUUAAAUAAUUUUGGAUUUAACUUCCCUGAUUUUACCGGAACCACUUUUGUUGGGUUGGAAAUAUUCCAUUAAGCCCUACAAAAUAUGUCUCACCAUCUAAUUCUUGUUCAUGGUCUUUUCUCUUAAUUAUUUUGACCUCUCUCUCUCUCUCUCUCUCUCUCUCUCUCUCUCUCUCUCUCUAUUUUUCUUCUUCUUCUAAAGGGAAUAAGGGAGAGAGAAAGAGCCCAGCCAUGCCUCUUGGGCCUCAUGUAGCCGCAGGCCACUCAGGCCCAGCAGCAGCCGAGCCGGCCACUAGGCCAAGGCCCAGCAGUGCCCGAUCCAUCCUAACCCUAAGCACUCAAAAAAAAAAAA